CGUUGUCCUCCUAUUUCUUAAUAGAUAAAAGUCCGAUUUUUUCAAAAAAACAUGUAUUUUUAUAUUUAAAACAAAAAGGAGGUCUAAAUUUUUUUAUAUAAAAUAUUUUUUUUAUUUCCAUAGAUUUAUUUUUAAAAAUACUUCUGGUAUUUCGAAAAAAACAUAUAUCUAUCAUAUUUUUUUAAAAAAAUAAUUGUUUGGAAAUUAAUUUUUUUUUUUGCCCAGAACCCAUAACACCAUUAAACCAGUCCUGCGUUUCCUCACCGCUUCUCAGGCAUUACCAUUGAAAAAGUUCGAGUUCGACAAAUACAAGCAAUUUUUUCUUUGAACUAAUAUAUUAAGUAUGCAUGGAUUCCACCUAAUGUUUAGCACACUGCACAUAUGAUUUGGCUGUGAUUUCAUUAUGUUUUUCUUCUUUGAAUAAGAAUAUCAUGGGUUAGCAUAUUUAUUAUUCAUGAUCUUAGCCACAAUCUAUCUUAUUAAAACUCAAGUACAAAAUUAGAGUGUUUGGAGACUUGAAUAGGACUUUUAAAAAUUUGGAGUGUUUGGAAACAUGGAUUGCAGUCUUUUAAAAAAAAAUAUUUUUGUUUGAAAACAAGGAUAGUAGUAUUAAGAAAAAAAGUAAUGGGCUUAUGUUUUUUAAAAAAAUUGAAAGUUAUCUAGGCCACUUUUAAAAUAUACCAAAAUGGGUCAAUCUAAUUCCCUAAAAUUUUUUUUUCUAAACUAACCAUAAAACAAAAUUUAAACUUUAUAUACAUAUUUCAAAUCAAAAUAAUAAUUCAAAUUUGAUUUAUAUCAAAAAUUGAUUCAAAAAUAUACAUAUAUUCAAAAAUGGAUUUUUACUAAACUAUUUUUCAAUAACCAUUAUAAAAAAAUAUUGUCAAUAUAUAUAAGAAAAAUAUAAUACAAAGCCCAAUUUGAAAUACCAACUCAAAUUAUGGUUUUCAUAUUUCAUAUUAAGUUUUAAAAAUAUAAUAUAUGUAAUUAUUUAUAUGAUGGUAUGUAUAAAAUACUAUUAAUUAUAUGAUUACUUAUAUGAUGGUACAUAUAAAAUACGAUUAAUUAUAUGAUGAUAAAAUACGAUAUAUAAUAAUGACUAGGGAUGGGCUUUUGGAUACCCAUACGGGUUUAGUUCUGAUCGGUUUGUAUUUUGAGUUUUCGGGGUCAAAGAUUUCAGCCUUAUUAGAAUGUUUCUAAAUUUUGGUUUGAGUUCGAUUUGGAUCUUUGCGGGUUUGGUUUGGGUUUGGAUAACUAAUUUAAAUUAUUUUUAAAGUCUUAAAUCAUUAUAUAUUUUAAAUUUCUCAAAAUGUAUAAAUAAAAUAAUAUAUUACGUAUAAAUUUGAAUAACAUAUGUCAUAAUACUUAAGCUUAACAUAUCAAUUGGCUUGAUUUAAAAUUUUGGAUACGAAAUCAAUAAUUAUUUUAAGUAUUUUUGGUGAUUUGAGUAUACUUUAACUAUUUCAGAUAUUUACUUUUGACUAUCUAUAUAUAUUUUCAAGUAUUUAAACCAAUUUAAAAGUAUCAUUUUUGAUGUUUUAUAUACGUUAAAUCUAAAAAUAAUUAAUAUAUAUAAGUAUAUAAAUCUAUUUUUAGAUAAAUUCGGAUACCCAAAUACUUCGGUUCGGAUCAGAUUCGGUUCUCUAAAUAACAAAAUUUUGAAUAAUUAGAAUAUUUAAUCAAUUUCUGUUUGGGUUUGGUACUAUAUCUUUGGAUCGGUAUCGGUUAUGUUCCUCGGAUUCAUUUUUCCAAUUCCUAAUAAUUACAUGAAAAACAAAUAUCAACAUAUUUUUCAAAAUAUACACCCGCGCGCCUGCGCGGGUCAAAAUCUAGUUCUAAUUUACAACCUACGUCAUACUGCAUGGUCUUUGAAUUCUCUAUCUAUGACCAUGGGCGGAACCAGAAUUGUUUUGAACAUCGGGCAUACAAACAUUUUUGAAUAAUAUGGGGCAUGUAAAGAUAUUUAGGCAAAUUUUAACAUCUAUCUUAUAUAUUAAAACAGAAGUCACAACCUUGAUUCAUGUGUGAUUUUCUUAAAAAUGGACCUAAUUGACCUAUUCAUAAAAAUUCAUAUUAUAUUUUAGUUCAGACUAAUAAUAAAUAGAAUUUUUAAAAUAUUUUAAUCAUAAUAUCUUUUGAUAUCUUUUCAUUUUAAAUAUAAAUAUAUUUAUUUUAAAAUUCUAACAAAUCUGUUUAAAAAGAUUUUUACAAGAUCUUCAUUUUCAUGCAUCCAAAAAUCUCGGGAUAUUAGCAAUUCUAAACGAUAAAAUGACAUCGUUUUAAUCAUUACACUAGAUUCUAACCCGUAUUUGAAAGGGCGGGUAUAUAUCUUGCUUUACAUUUUUUAGAAAUUUAAUUUUAUGUAUGAAUUUUUCUUUGUAAUCAUUUUUCGUAAAAUAUUUUUAAAAAUUAUUAGUAAGAGAUUUUGAUAAUUAUAUUGAAUUUUUAAUAUUGUGUAACUAUACAUUUAUACCAUAGCAAUUUCAAACAUUAAUUUUUGGGGUAUAUAUAUGGUUUAUAGAAGAAUUAGAUAUAAGCAUUAUUUUCAUACUCGAUCUAGACCCGCAGUUGAACCGAUACACCUGAUUGUAAAAUAUAUAUUUAGUAGAUGUAUUUGAUUAGUUAUAAUAUCAUUUGAAAGUUUAAUAAGAUAUAUAGAUUACAUCAUUUGAAACUUUAAUAAGAUAUAGUUUACAAAAUGAGGAGAUGCAUGUAAAAUAUUUUUUUUUUUUUGUGUAUGCUAAAUAUGUUAAAUUUGUUGAUAAUGAUAAAUUUUGUACUUGUGCAUGAUUUUAUAUUCUGCUUAAUAGGUUAAAUAUGAUAAAUUUUAUCGACUAUCACAUCUAUUAUAUUAAAAGAGAAGUCAUGACUUCUUUCAUGUGUAAUAUUUAAAAAUGGACCAUUUCCUAGAAAGUUGUUUAAAAUAGUUAUAAUGAAAUUAUUAAAUCCAUAUAUAUUUGAUAAUUCAAAUAAAUAUUACUGCCUUAAUAAUAUUUCCAAAAUCUACAGAAUCUUAGUUCAUUUUAAUGUGUUUAAGAAUAUUUAAAAUGUAACCUAUUAACAUGUAACAAACAACCUUUCAAACAUCAGAAAACAACCACGUAACAAGAUAUUUGCAUAAACUGAUAACCAAUCAAUUACUAUUUUAACACAUGCACACGAUUAUAUAAAGCACAUAAAUGAAAAUCCUGUCCAUUUGGAAUUCUAAUCACAUUUCAUAUUCCUAUAACUAUUCUAAUAUAUUACCCAAAAAAUAUUAUUAACUUGACAUUAACCUUUAAGAAAAUUGUAUUAUCUAUUCUAUUAAAAUAGAAAUCACAACCUAAUUUCAUGUGUGAUUUUUUAAGUUGGACCAUCUCUUAGGAAAAUUACUUAAAUGACUUAUUUUAACUAUUCUAAAUAUCAAAUAUAUAUUUCGUUAUUUCUCUGAAUUACAUUUAAAUAAAAUCAUUCAUAUCCUUUUAUUUAAAAUAUAAAUAUAAAUAUAUAUAAUAUGUUUCAUUAAGGCAAAUAUUUAAUUACUUUUUUUUUAUUUAUAAUAUAAAUGUAUAUGUCGUUUUCACUUAAACAAACCUUUUAAAUAUUUAAUUAAUUUUGUAAUUAUUAAAAUAUAAAUGUAUGUUUCAUUUUUACUAAAAUAAACAUUUAAGUAUCUAAUUAAUUUUUUAAUUAUAUUAAACUCAAGUACAAUUUUGUAUUAAAUUUGUGAUAUUAAUUUAAAAUAAUAUAUUUCAACUAAAUCUUUCAUCUCUAACAGUUAUGAUUUGUUAAUUUAGAAUUUGGUACCACAAUGUUAAAAAUAUCCUAUCAAUAUGAAUGAUCGGUCUACAAAUGCUGUUUUGAAAGUGGAUUCAGUUUUUAUUAUAAAAUAUAGUGGCCGGUUUAGAUUUUUUUUAUUAAUAAUAAAAGUAUAUGGUUGCUUUGUUUAAAAAAAGAUAACCAAGCUUAUUUUUUUAUAGAUCAUAUUCAUAUAUUAUUCAAUAAUGUAAUUGUUUUUGUUUCUUUUAUCUUGUGCAAUGGGUAUUGUAACAAUUUAUGUCAUUAACAUAAAUAACAGAGGAACGAUUGAAAAAUAUAUUACAUGUAAAUAUUUUUCUUUUCAGUGUGGUUAUUAUCAAAUGUAGUUGUAGGCUUAAAUGUUAAUUAUAUAACAUGAUGUAUGAUAGAUGAAAAACUGCAAAUAAAAGUUUAACAUUGAGAGAUUCAUUGUAAAUAAUCCAAGACUUUUGGGGUAGAAAAGUCUAAAUCACCGAUACACAUCAUAAGAAACCGAAAAACAUAGAUAAUAAAGAGAAAAUUCAGGUUGAAAAAGACAAAAAAUACACUUGCAUUAUAAUUUCCGGUUUAAUAAUUUAAAUGAAGUGGAUUUUUUUUUUUAUAAAUUACACUUAAUAUAGGUUAUGCAGUCAAAGAUUUAAUUCAUACAAAUAAUUCGAUUAACAAAUAGGUAUCACCUAAACUUAAAAUACAAGUAUAAUUGUAAGGAAAUUAAUAUCUAAUUUAAUAUUUAAUUGAACGGAAUUUGUUGUAAAUAUCACAUCAUGUAAGAUUUUAACUAAUGUUCAUGUUUUAAAGAAAAAGAUAUAACUUGAAAUAAUAAAUUAAAUUACUGCAUGUAAACUUUAAAAUUGUUGUGUUUGAAAAUAUUAUAUUAAACUAUUGGUAAUAUGAUAAAUGUUAAAAUUAUAUGCCACUAAUCACGUAAAUCAAAUAUUUAUAUGUAUAAAAAUGAAAAUAAUCACCCGCACGGUUGUGCGGAUCAAGAUCUAGUUAACUAUUAAUGAAAACUAGAUUUUGACCCGCGCAACCGCGCGGGUGUUUGUUUUUACUUUUUUUAUACAUAAAUUAUUAUUUUUAAACAUUAGUGGUAUAUUUUUUAAACAUUAAUCAUAUACUUAAAUGUUUAUAUAACUAUUUCAAAUAUAAUAAUUUUAUAAUUUACAUGUUAUAAUUAAUCAUUUGGUUAAAACCGUAUGUAUUUUCAAUUCUUAUUAUAUAUUUAUCUUAUUGUAUUUGCAUUUAGUUAUUAAGCAAAUUAAUAUAUUCAUGAGAAAACAUAUUUGAAAAGUAUUUUGUAUUUAAUUUAUGCUAAAUUCUGACUCGUAUUUCAAAGCUGUAUUUCUUUUUACUAAUAUUUUUUAUGCUUAUUCAUUUUAGAUAAUAUAUUAUUGUAUAUACAAAAGUCUAAGAUAUGUUAAUUUUUAGACAUGUAUUAUAAGGUUUGUUAAUUUUAAGCCGUUCUAUCAUCAUAUUAUAUUUUUAAAAUAAAUAAUUUAUAUUUAUGAAAAUAAAAUUUAUAAAUUUAUCAAUUGAAUAUACUUUUAUCAUAUUUAUUUAAGUAUAAUAAUUGUAUUUUAACAUGAUCAUGACUAUAAAGUGGGUAAAAUAGGAUAUAAUUUAUUUAUUUUUUAUUUUGUAAACGAUAACUUAAAAUAUAUUAAAUUAUUGUUAAAAUACUUUUACACAGAUUUAUUAGAAUUUUUAAAUAUAAUAUAUAAAUAUAUAUUAUAUUUAAAAUGAAAAUAUAUUAUGAUUAAAGUAGUUACAGCGAUUUUAUAUUAUAAGCUUUAAAGAAAUACAUGUUAAUUUUUAUACAUGUAUUAUAUAUUUUGCUUAACCCAUCUUACCAACGUAUUAGAUUUUAUUUUUGAACAUAAAUAUUUUAUACUUAUGAAAAUAAAAUUUAUAAAUUUAAUACAAUUUUAUUGUACUUAGCUCAAUAUAAUAAUUUUUUUUUAAUAUGAUUGAUUAUGAUUAUAUAAUAUAUAAAAUAUUACAGAAUUUUUAUUUUUUAUUUUAUAAACGAUUACUGGAUUUAUUAAUAUAUAAUAAUAUUUCAAACUAAUUUCGAAAUUAAUGAAAAAUAUUUAAAUAUAAUUUCGAAAAUGAAGAUCUUGUAAAAAUCUUUUAAAACAGAGUUGUUAGAUUUUUAAAAUAAAUAAUUUUAUAUUCAAAAUAAAAAGAUAUCAAAAGAUAUUAUGAUUAAAGUAUUUUAAAGAUUCUAUGUAUUAUUAGUCUUAAUAAAAUGCAUUUAAUAAAAUUUUUAAGUGAUGGUCCAAAUUAAAAAAAAAAUCACACAUGAAAGAAGUCAUGACUUCUCUUUUAAUAUAUAAGAUUGAUAAAUUAGGGUGGGGCACAGGCCACACCUCCUCUUGCUUUGGGUCCGCCCCUAUGACUAUAGUGCUAUAUGAUAUUUCAUAAGUUCACGAAAUUCACAACAAUCUCCAUACCGAUUGGGUAAGAAUGUUGCAAACAACUCGACGUGUUUCACGUUUAAGAUAUGUCCUAUCUUUGCAAAUGAAGUGAAGUGAACAAGUUGUCUUCUCCUAACUAACUAAAGCAUUAUAAUUAAUAAUAUUUUAAACGUGACAAGUGACAACAAAACCAAACAUAUAUAUCUAAAAAAACAUUUAAAUCCCACUAAAACAUUAUAAUUACAAUUUUAAUUUUUUUUGUCAACUUCAUAUUUCAUUAAAUCUAAAGAGUAUAAUUUUUAUAACUCUAUACGAUUACAAAUAUGAUACAUGUGUAGGUCGGUGAGCUAUGUAUCAUCCACGUGGCAUAAAUGGGAUAAGCAGAUCUAGAUCUUUCGGUUUGCUGUCGGGAAAGAUGCCGAUCACUUCCGAUGAUAUAGUUUCAUGUUACCAUCUUCAGUUUUCGAUUCACCUUGAUAUUGUACUCCUUAUAUUUAAACUUUCGCAUAAAACCGUUUCUAGAAAAAAAAAACCCCGUCUCUACAAGCCUGAAACCCACACAAUUGCCAGUGAUUUAAAAGCAGGGAAACUCUAAUUGAAUCAAGGAGACCCUUUAUUGGACCAAUUUCAUAGAAGAUGUCAAUUCUUCUAAAUCUCUUUUCACUCGAUCGAACGUUUCCAACAUCACCAUCGUCCUUUCCAUCUGAGAUGCUCCACUAUUGUUGACUUGUAAAGUACUCUUAAUAAUUAAGAGAUAAAGAACCUCAUAGAAAAGGGAUCUGUGCACAACCAACAGAGAAUAUGAGGUUCAAGCCCAAGCAUUGACGGGAUAUAUUUUAGCCUAGCAAAAGAGAAAACAAAAGUCGCCAGCGCGAACAAUUAAUCCGCUAAUCGGAAAAAAAAUAAAGUCGCCUAGCGAAGAUAUUAUCGAUCUAUAGAUCGAAGAAAGGUAGAUUUAAUAUAAUAGAAGAUGCUAAAACAAAAGAAAAAUGGAUGGUUACCGGUGGCGAAUUGCUCACCGGCCACCAGAAACUAUUUCAGUUUUUGCGUAGCCUAGAGAAAAGUUACAAUUUUUAUACUAUGACACCAACCAGGAGUUGGUCUAGUGGAUAAAAUGCUUGAAUUACCUAAUAGAAAUUUAAGAGGCCAUGAAUUAGUUGAAGUAAAUCUUUUCUCCUUGAAAGAAUUAAUUUAAAAUGGUUACGCCUCACAUUCAAAGGCUAGGAACCACAAUCAAGCUAAAAAAGUUAAUGGUAUUUAUUGGAUUUCUUUUGGCUAAAAAAGUUAUGGAAAAUUGUUAUUCACAAAAAACAAUCCAUUUACAAUCAAGUUUUAAUGUGUUUUCUUAAUGUGUGAAAAAUCUAAAAUAUGUAUUUUUUUAAACGGAGGGAAUAAUUAAUAAGAAUAAAAAAUAGGGGUUUUUACCAAAACUAACUCACAACUUGAUUUUAACCCCAAACCUAUACCAAAACUUGAAUCAAAUGCAAAAUUAACCUAAAAGCCUAGUAAAAUUACAGUUCAGCCCCUUGUGACCAAACAAAAAAACAGAAGCCAUUUUUACGAAUAUAGCCCUAGUAAAUCGUCUGAGUCGUCUGAGAUGUUGGAAGUCGUCUGGACGACUGAAGUGUAAGUCGUCUGGUACCGGUUUAUUUUAAAAAUAAUUUAUAAAUCUUGUAAAAAAAUAUUUUGAUGCGUGAAAAAUAAAAAUCAAAUAAUUAUAAACAGUUUUAAGUGAUAUAAAUUAAGAUAUGAUAAAAUUGAUUUGUUUUGAAGAUAGAUGAGUGGAAGUAGUGAAUCAUGAAAUACUUUGGUUUAGGAGUUUGGCAAACAUAUGUUGUAGUAUUGUAUGUAUUGUUAGGGUUAGAUUUUGGAAAACUAAAAUGUUUUUUGAAAUUCUAAUACCUAAUAUAAUAAAUUUAACACAUAAAAAUAUUAUAAAAUUAUAUAAACUAUAAUAUAUAUAAUUUAUAUAUAAUUCUUUAAAUAUAUGUAUAUAUAUGUAUCUAAUGGAUCAAAUUAGAUAUACGUUCUUAAAAAUAUUAAUAUUUUUUAUUUGCUUUGUUUCUUACAGAUAUUACAUUUUGAUAUUUGAUUUGCUUCAUAGUACGAUAUUUGAAUUUUUCAGUUCAAAUCAAAACGGAUAACGAAUCGAAUCAAAAAUUUACUAAUAUUGUGCCCAGUCUAUCAGUAAAUAAUAAAAAUAAUAUAUGUAUAACUGGACUUUCGAUUCAUUAUCCGUUUUGAUUUGGAUCGGAAAUCUGGAUAAUGUGAGUUUUAUUGGAACCUUACAUUUGAGUUUUAUAUUUAAAAACAAAACGUAAAGUACAUAGUGUGAACACAUUCAUACAAUCAACCUAGUAAUGAUAUAUCGCUACGAAAACAUGUUGUAAUGCUUCAAGAUUAAAAUAAAGGGGAUAUAAUCAAAUUUACAGAAAAACCAGAUUUGUGUAAAUGAUAAAAACGUACUUAUUAUUAACAGAGUUCAGCCAACUUUUCUAUAUCUACGAAACUAUUUCAAAUAUUUUACUAUAAACCCAUAAAAUUUAGCCAAUUACAUUUUGGUCAAAAAAAACCAAUUACAUUAAAAUUUAUAGUUAAUUCUGGAAAAUCUGAGCACAUAUCCUGAAAUAUAAUUCAUCCAAUACUCAAUAUUCUAAGUGUUACGUAUAUUAGAUAUUAUGUUGGAAAAAUGACGAAAGUGUGAAGACGGAUCAAACAUAAAAAACAUGUGUCAAAUAUGAAGAUGGGCUAGUUGAAAAGCAAAAAAUCCCAUAAACUAUAGAGAGAAAAUCAAAAUGUAUUGUGUCAUUUGAACCACCUUCAUCUCAAGGAGGUCCCAAAAAUCCCAAAAUGUAUGGUGUCAUAUGAAGAUGGUCCGCCUCAGUCUGCUUGAACGACUUCUUCCUCUUGUCUUUCUUUUCUUUUUUAUUGGUUUACUUACAGACAUUUGUUUUCCCUUUCAUCUGUUUAUUUGUUUUUUUCCUUUAUUUUUAUUGGAUUUUCUAGAAACAAAAGAUAUCAAAACUUAAAAAAUAUAUAAAAAAUAAAAAAUUGUAUAUUCUAAAGUUUAAAUUUCGUAACAUGGAUAAUUUCUCAGUUACCUUUGAUUUUUCCAUUUAAACUACUGUGCAUGUUCCAUAUAUUCCAUAUAGUAUAGUUUUGACAUCUAAAAAAUUAUAUCAUGAAUAUUAUACUAUUUUAUUUUUCUGAUUAAUUAUGUUAGAGUAUUUUAUUUACAUUUUGUGUGUUGUGAUGUGACUGUAGAAUCAAUAUUAUAUUUUUCUAAUUUUGAGCACAAAAUAUAAAAACUCCAAUAAUUUUAUUCAAUCCAUAAAUUUAUUAGUGUCUCAAAUUCAAGUUUUUUUCAAUAAAAUAGAAUAUAAUUUUUUGUCUUAGGUAAAUUAUAUAACUAUUUUAGUUUAUAAAUAUAUAGCAUGUUGUUAUACUAUAAAAAUAAUAAUAAAAUGAAAUUUAUUUAAUCAGUUAAUUCUAUUUUAUCGAAUCCACUUAAGCAACUCCAACUAUAACACCAAAUUUAGUCUUGUAAAAAAACCAAAUUUGGUAUUUUAAUAUUUAAUUAAUUUGUUUCAUUUCUAAUCACAAAACUAAAUUUCACCAAAAAUAAUAUUAUACAGUAUUUUUAUUUUCAUAAUUAUCUUUGUUUUAUCAAAUUUGUUUAAACACAACCUUUUUAAACUCACUUUUUAUAAUUAUAUUUUUUCAUUGGUGUAAAUAUUAAUGAAAACUGAUAUAUUUUUCAUUUUUAUUAGAUAUAUGAAAGUAUAGUGAACAAAAAAAAAGAUAUAUGAAAGUAGAUGUUUGUUUGGUAUUUGAAUUAUAAGAGUAUUAGUUCUUCUGAAUUUGUUAAAAAAAGUUAUAAAAUAAUUCCAUAAAAAGAUACAAAUAUGAUUCUUUUCCCCAUAUAUUUGUCAAAAACUCACAAAUUAAAAUUAUUAAACACUAUCAUUUUUAUUUUAGACAUGUCAUUAUUUUAUCAUCUAAAAAUCUCUACUAUUAUAAACAUACACACAUAUAUAUAUCUACUCUAUUAAAAUAGAGUCCUAUUUGAAAUUACCAUGGCAUAUUUUUAAUUUGGGCUUAUUAAACAAUGUUGUGACUUAAUAUUAAAAUAUGUUUCAUAUACAAAUUUAUAUGGUAACCAACAUACUUAAACUAAACCAAUCUUCAUGUAAACCACCAUUUAAAAAUUCGGUUUAAGUUUUGGAACUGUUCAAAUUGUGUUUCAUUAAUAUAAAAUAUACUCUAUUAAUUUGGUUAGUCAAUAUUUAGUUAUAUGAACAAUCAUAAUCGUUCCCAAAAUUUACCAAAACUUCCAAAGCUACGUAUUACAUCAUCAACACCACAAUGUUUAUUAAAUCUAGAUAAACAAAAAGGCAAUUCGUUCAACUAGAACUCUGGCAAUAACAAUUGUCUUGGAGUCGAUAACAUAUAUCUCUUCAAGGUUUAACAAAAAUUCAGAGUCAUUUAAUCCUGAAUUCUGAUCCUGCUUUAUCAAGAAAAUUUGCAUAUGAAUGACCAAGAUGAAUAACUUUUGUCUUUGAGUCAAUAACAAAGAUCUCUUCAAGGUCUCACAAAUUCAGGGUUGUUUAAUCCUCUGUUCUAAUAAUGCUUUGUCAAGAAAACCUGCAUAUGAAUGAACAAGACGAAGAUGAAAACAAUAUUCUCAAAUAUCAUUUUAAAAAUGUUUUACAUCGACAAUUAAUUUGUAUAUUUAUGUAUAUAAUAUAUAAAAUAUUACAGAAUUUUUAUUUUUUAUUUUAUAAACGAUUACUGGAUUUAUUAAUAUAUAAUAAUAUUUCAAACUAAUUUCGAAAUUAAUGAAAAAUAUUUAAAUAUAAUUUCGAAAAUGAAGAUCUUGUAAAAAUCUUUUAAAACAGAGUUGUUAGAUUUUUAAAAUAAAUAAUUUUAUAUUCAAAAUAAAAAGAUAUCAAAAGAUAUUAUGAUUAAAGUAUUUUAAAGAUUCUAUGUAUUAUUAGUCUUAAUAAAAUGCAUUUAAUAAAAUUUUUAAGUGAUGGUCCAAAUUAAAAAAAAAAUCACACAUGAAAGAAGUCAUGACUUCUCUUUUAAUAUAUAAGAUUGAUAAAUUAGGGUGGGGCACAGGCCACACCUCCUCUUGCUUUGGGUCCGCCCCUAUGACUAUAGUGCUAUAUGAUAUUUCAUAAGUUCACGAAAUUCACAACAAUCUCCAUACCGAUUGGGUAAGAAUGUUGCAAACAACUCGACGUGUUUCACGUUUAAGAUAUGUCCUAUCUUUGCAAAUGAAGUGAAGUGAACAAGUUGUCUUCUCCUAACUAACUAAAGCAUUAUAAUUAAUAAUAUUUUAAACGUGACAAGUGACAACAAAACCAAACAUAUAUAUCUAAAAAAACAUUUAAAUCCCACUAAAACAUUAUAAUUACAAUUUUAAUUUUUUUUGUCAACUUCAUAUUUCAUUAAAUCUAAAGAGUAUAAUUUUUAUAACUCUAUACGAUUACAAAUAUGAUACAUGUGUAGGUCGGUGAGCUAUGUAUCAUCCACGUGGCAUAAAUGGGAUAAGCAGAUCUAGAUCUUUCGGUUUGCUGUCGGGAAAGAUGCCGAUCACUUCCGAUGAUAUAGUUUCAUGUUACCAUCUUCAGUUUUCGAUUCACCUUGAUAUUGUACUCCUUAUAUUUAAACUUUCGCAUAAAACCGUUUCUAGAAAAAAAAAACCCCGUCUCUACAAGCCUGAAACCCACACAAUUGCCAGUGAUUUAAAAGCAGGGAAACUCUAAUUGAAUCAAGGAGACCCUUUAUUGGACCAAUUUCAUAGAAGAUGUCAAUUCUUCUAAAUCUCUUUUCACUCGAUCGAACGUUUCCAACAUCACCAUCGUCCUUUCCAUCUGAGAUGCUCCACUAUUGUUGACUUGUAAAGUACUCUUAAUAAUUAAGAGAUAAAGAACCUCAUAGAAAAGGGAUCUGUGCACAACCAACAGAGAAUAUGAGGUUCAAGCCCAAGCAUUGACGGGAUAUAUUUUAGCCUAGCAAAAGAGAAAACAAAAGUCGCCAGCGCGAACAAUUAAUCCGCUAAUCGGAAAAAAAAUAAAGUCGCCUAGCGAAGAUAUUAUCGAUCUAUAGAUCGAAGAAAGGUAGAUUUAAUAUAAUAGAAGAUGCUAAAACAAAAGAAAAAUGGAUGGUUACCGGUGGCGAAUUGCUCACCGGCCACCAGAAACUAUUUCAGUUUUUGCGUAGCCUAGAGAAAAGUUACAAUUUUUAUACUAUGACACCAACCAGGAGUUGGUCUAGUGGAUAAAAUGCUUGAAUUACCUAAUAGAAAUUUAAGAGGCCAUGAAUUAGUUGAAGUAAAUCUUUUCUCCUUGAAAGAAUUAAUUUAAAAUGGUUACGCCUCACAUUCAAAGGCUAGGAACCACAAUCAAGCUAAUACAAGUAGCAAAAAGAAAAGCGAAAGUGUAGGACAGUUGUUAAUGGUGAAGAGAAUUAGAUAUUUUAGUUGUAGUGAAUAUUUAGUUAAAAAAAGUGUUCACGUCAAUGUCCACAUAUAUGUAUAUAUAAAGUAUAUAAAAGUGGUUAGUAAAAAUUUUAAAAAUAAAUGAAAUUGUAAAAAUCAUAUAAAAUAGUAAUAUUUCAUUACAAAAAUAAUUUAUUAUUUAGAAUUUGAAAUUCUAAUACCUAAUAUAAUAAAUUUAACACAUAAAAAUAUUAUAAAAUUAUAUAAACUAUAAUAUAUAUAAUUUAUAUAUAAUUCUUUAAAUAUAUGUAUAUAUAUGUAUCUAAUGGAUCAAAUUAGAUAUACGUUCUUAAAAAUAUUAAUAUUUUUUAUUUGCUUUGUUUCUUACAGAUAUUACAUUUUGAUAUUUGAUUUGCUUCAUAGUACGAUAUUUGAAUUUUUCAGUUCAAAUCAAAACGGAUAACGAAUCGAAUCAAAAAUUUACUAAUAUUGUGCCCAGUCUAUCAGUAAAUAAUAAAAAUAAUAUAUGUAUAACUGGACUUUCGAUUCAUUAUCCGUUUUGAUUUGGAUCGGAAAUCUGGAUAAUGUGAGUUUUAUUGGAACCUUACAUUUGAGUUUUAUAUUUAAAAACAAAACGUAAAGUACAUAGUGUGAACACAUUCAUACAAUCAACCUAGUAAUGAUAUAUCGCUACGAAAACAUGUUGUAAUGCUUCAAGAUUAAAAUAAAGGGGAUAUAAUCAAAUUUACAGAAAAACCAGAUUUGUGUAAAUGAUAAAAACGUACUUAUUAUUAACAGAGUUCAGCCAACUUUUCUAUAUCUACGAAACUAUUUCAAAUAUUUUACUAUAAACCCAUAAAAUUUAGCCAAUUACAUUUUGGUCAAAAAAAACCAAUUACAUUAAAAUUUAUAGUUAAUUCUGGAAAAUCUGAGCACAUAUCCUGAAAUAUAAUUCAUCCAAUACUCAAUAUUCUAAGUGUUACGUAUAUUAGAUAUUAUGUUGGAAAAAUGACGAAAGUGUGAAGACGGAUCAAACAUAAAAAACAUGUGUCAAAUAUGAAGAUGGGCUAGUUGAAAAGCAAAAAAUCCCAUAAACUAUAGAGAGAAAAUCAAAAUGUAUUGUGUCAUUUGAACCACCUUCAUCUCAAGGAGGUCCCAAAAAUCCCAAAAUGUAUGGUGUCAUAUGAAGAUGGUCCGCCUCAGUCUGCUUGAACGACUUCUUCCUCUUGUCUUUCUUUUCUUUUUUAUUGGUUUACUUACAGACAUUUGUUUUCCCUUUCAUCUGUUUAUUUGUUUUUUUCCUUUAUUUUUAUUGGAUUUUCUAGAAACAAAAGAUAUCAAAACUUAAAAAAUAUAUAAAAAAUAAAAAAUUGUAUAUUCUAAAGUUUAAAUUUCGUAACAUGGAUAAUUUCUCAGUUACCUUUGAUUUUUCCAUUUAAACUACUGUGCAUGUUCCAUAUAUUCCAUAUAGUAUAGUUUUGACAUCUAAAAAAUUAUAUCAUGAAUAUUAUACUAUUUUAUUUUUCUGAUUAAUUAUGUUAGAGUAUUUUAUUUACAUUUUGUGUGUUGUGAUGUGACUGUAGAAUCAAUAUUAUAUUUUUCUAAUUUUGAGCACAAAAUAUAAAAACUCCAAUAAUUUUAUUCAAUCCAUAAAUUUAUUAGUGUCUCAAAUUCAAGUUUUUUUCAAUAAAAUAGAAUAUAAUUUUUUGUCUUAGGUAAAUUAUAUAACUAUUUUAGUUUAUAAAUAUAUAGCAUGUUGUUAUACUAUAAAAAUAAUAAUAAAAUGAAAUUUAUUUAAUCAGUUAAUUCUAUUUUAUCGAAUCCACUUAAGCAACUCCAACUAUAACACCAAAUUUAGUCUUGUAAAAAAACCAAAUUUGGUAUUUUAAUAUUUAAUUAAUUUGUUUCAUUUCUAAUCACAAAACUAAAUUUCACCAAAAAUAAUAUUAUACAGUAUUUUUAUUUUCAUAAUUAUCUUUGUUUUAUCAAAUUUGUUUAAACACAACCUUUUUAAACUCACUUUUUAUAAUUAUAUUUUUUCAUUGGUGUAAAUAUUAAUGAAAACUGAUAUAUUUUUCAUUUUUAUUAGAUAUAUGAAAGUAUAGUGAACAAAAAAAAAGAUAUAUGAAAGUAGAUGUUUGUUUGGUAUUUGAAUUAUAAGAGUAUUAGUUCUUCUGAAUUUGUUAAAAAAAGUUAUAAAAUAAUUCCAUAAAAAGAUACAAAUAUGAUUCUUUUCCCCAUAUAUUUGUCAAAAACUCACAAAUUAAAAUUAUUAAACACUAUCAUUUUUAUUUUAGACAUGUCAUUAUUUUAUCAUCUAAAAAUCUCUACUAUUAUAAACAUACACACAUAUAUAUAUCUACUCUAUUAAAAUAGAGUCCUAUUUGAAAUUACCAUGGCAUAUUUUUAAUUUGGGCUUAUUAAACAAUGUUGUGACUUAAUAUUAAAAUAUGUUUCAUAUACAAAUUUAUAUGGUAACCAACAUACUUAAACUAAACCAAUCUUCAUGUAAACCACCAUUUAAAAAUUCGGUUUAAGUUUUGGAACUGUUCAAAUUGUGUUUCAUUAAUAUAAAAUAUACUCUAUUAAUUUGGUUAGUCAAUAUUUAGUUAUAUGAACAAUCAUAAUCGUUCCCAAAAUUUACCAAAACUUCCAAAGCUACGUAUUACAUCAUCAACACCACAAUGUUUAUUAAAUCUAGAUAAACAAAAAGGCAAUUCGUUCAACUAGAACUCUGGCAAUAACAAUUGUCUUGGAGUCGAUAACAUAUAUCUCUUCAAGGUUUAACAAAAAUUCAGAGUCAUUUAAUCCUGAAUUCUGAUCCUGCUUUAUCAAGAAAAUUUGCAUAUGAAUGACCAAGAUGAAUAACUUUUGUCUUUGAGUCAAUAACAAAGAUCUCUUCAAGGUCUCACAAAUUCAGGGUUGUUUAAUCCUCUGUUCUAAUAAUGCUUUGUCAAGAAAACCUGCAUAUGAAUGAACAAGACGAAGAUGAAAACAAUAUUCUCAAAUAUCAUUUUAAAAAUGUUUUACAUCGACAAUUAAUUUGUAUAUUUAUGUAUACAAUUAAAAGAUUUUAUGUUGCAUCAUAAUAGUGGAAAAUUAUAUGUUUCAUACAGUAACCAUCAUUUUAUAUUAAUGAGUUAGUCUAACAACAUUUUAAAAAUACAUAAAAUAUGUGAAAACGUUUUAGUAUCUAUGCAUAUUGUAUAAACUUACUACAUUGAUGGAAAGAAGAUACAGAACAAUUGACACUUUCUUAUCUGUUAAAUGGUUGCUACAAAAACCUCCCUAAAUUUCUGGUACGAUUCUAGAUAUCUUAACAAUUAAUUUAAACUCAAUAUUUUCUGAACAAUCAUUAAUAUCAUUAAUAUAUUGACAAAAUAUCUUAGAUUUUACCUAGAUUACGUAGUAAAAUAAAUUACACUAUUAAAAAUACUUUUGAUGAAACUUUUCAUUAGCACAAACGAACCAUAAACAACGUAAAAAUGAAUCUUUUUUUCAAUUGGCUCCUUUUAAACUUAUCACCUUGCUAAAAGGUGUAAAGCACAAACGAAAACGUAAAAAAUGAAUCAUUUUUCAAUGGCUCCUUUAAAACAUAUCACCCUUGCUAAAAGGUUGUAAAUUUGAAAUUAAAAUUAUUUAAUAUCAUAUAUAUAUAUAUAUAUAUAUCAUAGUUAUUAUAAAUAGUGAUCUAAAAUAGAAAAUAUUAUCAUCUAUACCAGACACACAAAUUUCAAAAAAAUCUUAAAUCUUACAAAUAUAUAUUUAAUUAUAAAAAAUACAUCAAAUAAAAAGGUAAAAUUUACAAAACGGGUUGGAAAUUUGGUAAAGUUAUGUAUUAGAUAUAUAUUUACUACAAAUAAAAACAAAUACAAAUGAAUAGUAUAAAAUAAGAUAGUAUCAAUAGAAUUUUCAAAUUUUUAUGAUUCUAAGAAACUAAACGUGUUAUGAUUUAAAACAAUUAUCAUGUAUCAUGUUUAUCAUAAAGAAGGUAAAAAAAAUAAACCAUCACUAUAAUAAAACUUAAAGACAAAUAAUAUUUUUACUAAAAAUAUAUUUACAAAAUAAUUUCGCCCUUGAAAAGGGCGGGUAAAUAUCUAGUAACUAAAUUAAAACUUGCAUGAGGCCUCUAACGGGCUGGCACGGCACUGUUUAGAAGCAACCCUGCAAUAAUAAAAUUUAAAUUAUGUUUUCUCAAGUAUAUACUAAUAUAGUGGACCGCGAAUAUAUAAACCGUCGGCAGCUAUUCUCUCAAGAAAAUAGAAGAUAUACUAGGCAAUUUAAACAAGUAUCUCGUGUUUUCUUAGUCAUUUUAAUUUUUGGGUAAUGUAUUUACUGUUUUCUCUGGUCUAUAUAUUUGCUUCCUAAAAAUCAAUUGAUCAUUCGUUACAUCUCUGUAUUUUAGUGCUCUUUCUUGUUCUUCCCACCACUGCCUUUUUUCUCUCAUUUUUGAAUUACAUGGAAGCAAAAAGAAAAGUUGAUCAUGAAAUUGGUUUUGAUUUCACAAAAUUGCCACCAUCUAAAUGGGGUGAUCACUUCCUCACUGUGACCGUCACUGACUCGGUGCGUCCAAAUAUUAGUAUAAUAUAAACUAAUAUAGAUCAUGCAUCUGGGCAUAAUUAAUUCGUUGUACGUUACAUGCUAGUCUAACGAUCUUUGAGUUGUAUUAACUAUUAGGAUAUUGAUGCUCUUGCAAAUGAAAUUGAGGUACUAAAGCUUAAAGUGAGGGACAUGCUAAUUUGGUAUUCGGGAGAUGAUGGCGAGGCGACCAAGAGAAAAAUUCUUAUAAUCCAUUUUCUAGUCAGUCUUGGUCUGGCAUAUCAUUUCGAGAAUGAGAUUGAACACAUAGUGAAAAUUGCUUUCGAGAAGAUAGCGGAUUUGAUCGCUGAUGAGAAUGACUUGUACACGAUUUCUAUCAUGUUUCGCGUUUUCAGAACAUAUGGUCACAACAUGUCAUCGGGUAAGAAACUUGAACAUGUCAUAUAAUUGAAUGUUUUGUGUUGAAUGUUUAUCAUUUGAUAUUAGCAGCGUUAAUGAAAAUAUACAUAUAUCUAUCAAGAAGUAUGCAUGUUUUAUUUUCAUAGGAAACUUAACUAGAAAUAAUUAUUUUAAUAAUUUUAUCUUUACCUACAAUUUUCAAAAGGUUAAAAACACCAACUGAAAUAUCAAACUAUCUUGCUUAAAUCCAGAAGUAUAAAGAGAUGGUAUUCAUUACCUUGCACUGUAAGUUAUGUUGGUUGCCUAUUUUUGUUUUGGACGGUGAAACAAUCAAAUUGAUAUGUUCGAUAAGCAACUUGUAGUUUGAUAAUUCUAUAAAAAGCGGAAAAGUUUCUAAUGUUUUUGUUUGUAGAACAUAAUCGCUUUUUUUUAUUAUAUGACGUUUUAAAGAAUUUUUUUCACUGUAAAUUAGAUAAAAUUUUCAAUGCAAAUUUAUUAAUUUUUAUGCUAUAUAAAAUUUUAUAUUCUUUGGUUAACUUUUCUAUUGGUUGAAUUAUGAUUAGGUGGAUAGUUUAUGAUGUUUUUGGUUAGAAAAAAUACAAAAUUAAUUUUUUUCCUUAAUUUGUGUAAACAAAUCUAAAUGUCAUAGUAAGAAAAAAUGGAAAUAGUGUCAUUUAGGUGAUAAUAUAUAUUAGUACAUCUAUAUUUGUAAAUACAUUUGUGUCACAGACUACAAUUUUUCUCUUUUAUAUAGAUUACAAUUUAUUUUAUCUGUCAAAUUAUUUUUUUCAACUUAGAUUUAACGUUUGAACAUUGCUCCAGAGAGAGCUUGACGAGGUUUUAGCAUAUGUGUGUACACUCUAGAUAUUAUUUGUGCUGAUAAUUGGUUAGUUUUAACAAUAAUUUAGAUUAGAAAGACAUGGUAUUCAUUACUUUUUUUCUAAUCAUCAAAAUAUUUAAUAAAAUAUAUUUUCAUAUAAUUUUAAUAUCAUUUUUAAUAUUUCUUUGCAAGUAUAUAUAGUUUUUGCAAACUAUAAUAAAAUGAGAUAAAGAAUUUUAAGAUUUAGUAAUUUUGUUGUUAGUUUAAUUUUUUAAAAAUUAGAAUAUUCUUAGAAAUUUGAAGAUAUUUUUGUUAUAAAUAUUAUAUAAUUAUAAAUUUUGUGAUUUACAAAUAUAGUAUUGGUAAAAUCAAUAAAUUUAAAAACCAGGGUUUGAAAUAUGUCUGGUCUGAUAGAUUUAAAGUUUAAUAACCGUUCGUUGUAAAAAAAAAUACAAUCCAUAAGUGUAACAACACGGUUGUUUUCAAGUAGAUGUGUUCAAAAGAUUCAAAGAAGAUGAUGAGAAGUUCAAGAGAUAUCUAAUAAAUGAUUUCAAAGGGAUGCUAAGCUUUUAUGAAGCACUACACCUCGGAACAACAACGGAUUAUAUCUUGGAUGAAGCAUUGAGCUUUACACUGAGCCACUUGGAGACAAUAGCUACAGGUCAUUUAGCAAGUCCAGGACACAUUUCAAGGCUUAUACAAAAAUCACUUCACAUACCUCAACACAUGAACAUUGAAGCACUAGUUGCAAGGGAGUAUAUUUCAUUUUAUGAACAAGAAGAGAACCACGAUGAAACGUUGCUCAAGUUAGCAAAGCUCAAUUUCAAGUUCUUACAGCUUCAUUACUUCCAAGAACUAAAAACAAUCACCAUGUAUGUGAAUAUUCAACUAUUUUUAGCAAGCUUUCUUUGUGAUUUCAUAUUUUAACAUGUUGUACACAUUUUUCAGGUGGUGGAGGGGACUAGAUCAUACAUCAAAAUUACCACCUAAUUUCAGAGAAAGAACCGUUGAGACUUGGUUAGCGGCAUUGAUGAUGUACUUUGAGCCGCAGUUUUCACUUGGGAGAAUUAUGUCGGCUAAGUUUUACUUAGCAAUCACAUUUCUAGAUGAUGCUUGCGAUACAUAUGCUUCUAUUGACGAAGUUAGGAAUCUGGUUGAUUGUAUAGAAAGGUACAUUAAUUUUAUAUAUCCUGAAAAUUUAUAAUGUUGCAUUAUAUUAAUCAACAAGCUAGGCAGAUAGCUAGUAAUGAGUUAACUGUUGCAUUCUUCUAUCAAUAGAUGGGACCCUGAUUACAUGGGAGAACUUCAAGGUCACAUGAAGACGGCCUUCAAAUUUGUGAUGUGUGUUUAUAAAGAGUAUGAAGAUAUAUUGAGGUCACAAGGAAGAUUAUUUGUCUUGGAGGAAAUGAUAGAAGAGGUUUGUGCUUUCAAAAGCUUAAAUAAUUAAUAUGUUCACAUAAACUGCUGGCUGGUAACAUUAUGUAUUGUUGAUAUUAGUUCAAGAUACUUGUGAGGACAAACCUCCAACUUGUCAAAUGGGCACGAGAAGAUUGCAUGCCUAGCUUUGAUGAGUAUAUAGAAGCUGGUGGAGCUGAGAUUGGUUCGUAUGCGACCAUAGCUUGCUCUAUUAUGGGACUUGGAGAGAUUAGUAAGAAGAUAGAUUUUGAGUGGCUAAGAUCUAGACCAAAGGUCGUCCAAGUUCUAGCCGCAAAGACCCGUCUCAUGGAUGACAUAACCGACUAUGAGGUAUUAAUUAUCAAGACCCACAUUAUAUAUAUAUAUAUAUAUAUAUAUAUAUAUAUAUCAUUUUAGUUUGUCAGUUACUGAAAUAAUUUCAAAACUAUUAACUCGCAAAUAUGUUUUUAGGGUGAUUUGGAAAAAUAUGGUUCAGCUUGACAAAUUAAGAAUUGAUUUGGUUUAAAUUCACGGUUUACUGAAUUGUGUGUGAAAAAAAAAUCUACUUGAACAUACAAAACAUUUAAUUCCCUUUUGAAAGCUUCCUUGGAUUUAAUUAAGUUUUGCUAAUAUAUCCAGCUCAUAUUUCAUGGAUUAGAUUGUGGUUUAUAUGAUCAGGAGGAUAUUGGUAAAGGUUACACUGCAAACGCACUCAACUAUUACAUAAAACAACAUGGAGUUACCAAAGAAGAAGCUAUAAAAGUGUUUGAUAAAAUGAUUAAAUAUAUCAACAAAAUCGUUAACGAGGAGUGCUUGAAGACAACCCACAUCUCUCGUCGGGUUCUUAACCAAAUCAUCAAUUACGGACGUUCAUUAGACGUUCUAUAUACAUCUGACGAUGUCUUCAACCACCGUGAAGGCAUGCUCAAGGAGUAUAUCACCACUUUGCUCGUUGAUCCAAUACAUCUUUAGAGUUUAGACUGUGGAAGUCAAAGCAUAACCUUCUUUGGGUUUCGAAUACAAUGUUUUAGUGAAUUUAUGUUUUAUAAGGCAAAUGUAUUUUGUUAUGAAGACUUCACACUCAAAUAAAAACAUCUUGGACAAUCUCCAUCAGGUUUAGAGUUGUUGAGACCACAAUGGCAAACUGUUUGACUUUAAACCAUAAUCAAACACACAAACUCCGACACAUUCUCUGACACAUUCGUUGAUGACACAUUCGUUGACGUAAGUUAGAAAGUAUAAGUUUGUAGAAUAAUAGAGAAUAGAAGAAGAACGCGGAAAAUAUAGAGAUGGACACAAGAAAUUGUUUACCUAGAGUUCAUCUAGAUACUGCUACAUCUCUUGGGCCUAGCAAAGAGGCAAUCCACUAUAAUCUUAAGAACAAAGAUAUAGAACCUCUCUCUCACAACGAAACUUACAAACCGAACCAAACUGGAACUUUUCUUGGACAAGGGAGAAAGAGAGCACACGAGCUCCCCUUAUAUAUGAGGAGUUUAUUACAUUUAACCUAGUGGGAUUAACGCAUUGGCCCGUUUCAAUAAAUCUAUUAGGAAACUUUCCAAAAUACUUCCAACUUCCAUAAACCAUGAAAGUAAUAUUUCCAGGAUCCUAUCAACUUCCAUAACUUCAUAAAAGUGAUAUUUUUCUUUCCAAAUAUGACGACUUUGUCUUGAUUUAAGUUAUGCGAUAUUGUUUGAUUUUCAUAACCAAAUCCUGACGAAGUCCCUGACGGAUUCCUCGACGUAUAUUCCCUGAUGAAUUCCAACAAACUCUACCUUGAUAACAUCAAACAUGAUUCACUACUUAGGUUAAGCAAACUCGUGCUUUGUUAGGGGAUGUCGAAUGCUCCUCAAUGUUAGGACAUCCCAAGGAAGUUCACCGCUUCUCAAACUUCUUAACCAGAACAACCUUGGUUAAUAUAUCAGCAGGAUUCUUAGAAGUACAUAUCUUCUUCACACUUACAUCACCUCGAAAAAUAAUAUCCCUGAUGAAGUGCAUCUUUUUGCUGAUGUGUUUAAUCCUCUCAUGAUACACAUUGUUAUUUGCUAGACACAAUGCACUUUGAGGGUCACACUGUAACACCCCCGAACCGUUUUAGAUAUCGGUCAGUCAGCCAGGCAACAAUCAAACAAGAACAUGCCCGAACGACCUUCCUCUACCAAGUCCGAAAGUGUUACGGCGGGUUGAGAAUAGACUUUCCAAGUCACAAACAUAAUUCUGUAACCCAGAAUAUCCAUUCAAAACUCGUUUCCUCUAAUCUUCGGCCUAAGGCUUUGCAACCCAUACCAAAUCAUAGAGUUGUGUUAGGUUGGACUAACCUAAUAUCAGAUUCAACACGUCACAUAUAUAUAUAUAAAUAUAUAUAUAUAUACUCCUAGAGUCCAACAGAAUCAUUCUUCCUCCACAUAAGGGACACCGGCUAUCCCUUCACUAUUACACCACACAGGCGUAGACGCUUGGGAGUCGCCCGGUCACGGUCCUUUCCGCGAGUGCUACGGUCUUUUCUACUGGUCACCUGCAAAAGGAUGCGAAGAGUGAGUGAACUAGUUUUACUCAGUGAGACAGGGUUCCCUAUCUAGCAUAUACAACUACCCGUCAUUCUUAACCCAACCCAAAACACAAGUAAGACGGAUUGUUCAACAAUCAAUAAAGCAUGACCGAUUUAAGCAAUAAAUUUUUCGGACCACGACCGGCUUAGUGGUACCAUUUGAGGAAGCAAUGACCUGCAAACUACUACUAGAACCACCACGAGGUUCUCACAUAACAGUACCAACACGAGGUACACACUAUAACAACAUAUAAUAAUCACACAUUCACAAUAAUUCGAGUGCUUAGACUAGUCUUGCUAUCCACUUUGCCAGACAUCGUCUCAAGCCACGGAUCCACAAACUGACACCUAGACCGGUCCGGCUAUCCUAGCUCGGAAGACGUCUCUGAUGUCAGGAACCUUCAUUAAAAAUUCAUUAAUUAACCGUGACUCACAGUGAUUAAGCGAUGUGGCUCAACUCUUUGAUUCCGGAUGUUGACCAAACCCUUUUUCUCCCCUCCAAAUCUUCGUCUUGGUACUGUGAUGUUAAAUCCCAAAACCCAACGUCAAUGUCUUGAAUGGACUGGUCUUGGCUGAUCAGAACUCGGAAAGAACAUUCCUUCACUUCUGGACAGUGUUUCGAAACUUCCCAACAGUUUAUCAGUCUUCAAAAAUGUCUAUACUUCUAAAGCACCUCACUUCUUUUUCUUUCUCCCUAUAGCCACGUUUUUCUUUGGUUUAUAUGGAAUGAGAUCAGUAAAAAUGGUGAAGGGUGGCUGGGUAUAUAUAGAAAUUGCCAGCUAAUAAGAAUGAGCCACCCGAUCGCCUGUGUGUUGUCCUGCAUGCUUCUGGUCGCAUGUGUGGCGACACAUGGGCGUCCACAUGCCCUGUUGCAUUUCUCCUUUACAUGCCAGGGGACACCACCACGUCCACAUAUCUCUCAGCAUGUCUGGGGUUCAUGCGUCGCGACACACGGGCCUCUGCAUGUCGGUUCGCAUGCAAAGAUCACAGGUACUGCGACACCUCAUGCUUCUGUGUGUCGAGCUGCAUGGAACUGCUUCAUGCACGUCUACACCUCCUUCUUGUGUUGACACUCAGCAGGUAAAAUGGUUGACACCACGUCCUGAUCCCUUAGAUCAAGCCACCUAGAGCUUUUCGGUCGAUUUACGCGAUUUCGGUCCUUCUGGUGAAUUUGCGUCCCGCGUUCAAUCUCGGAUAUUUUUCCGCUACCAUUCUGAUGAGCUGAAUAUUUUUUAUAGACUCCAGACUAACCUUAACCUUGAGGAUACAAAUUUACCAAGCCUUCGGCUUCCCCGAGAAAUUCGAUAAAACCGAAAUUAGGGUUUUUUUUUUUAAGAUGGAGUAUUACUCACACGAUAUCUCCACCGUGUCUUGCUUGAAUCCAAGCUCUUCUGCUAAUCCCCUUAACCACAUUUCUUCUUUGACUGCUUCAUCCAGCAUUAUAUACUUCCCUUCGGUCAUUGACAGAGCCACUACACUUUGUAAACUUGAUGUUCGGCUGAUUGUAUUCCCACCAGUCAUGAAAACAUAACCUGAGAUAGACCUUCUCUUGUCCAGAUCUGAAGCUAAAUCAGAAUCACAGAAACUUUCAACCAUAAACACCUCAUUUUUCCUGAAGUACAGUUUCAGAUUUUGUGUUCCCUUCAGGUAUCUCAAUACCCACUUAACCGCAGUCCAGUGAACCAUCCCAUGCUUGCUCAUAUACCAGCUAACCAACCCAAAUGCAUAUGACAGAUCACCCCACGUACCUAUCAUAGCAUACAUUGUGCUUCCGAUAGCAUUAGCGUAUGUAAUAUCAUCCAUACAUGUCUCUACUUCAUCAUCAUCUACGGCAGACAAUUUGCGUUGACACACACUGACUCAUCCAUGUCGAAUACCCUGAGAAUAUUCUUGAUAUAACCAGAUUGAGAUAGUGUCAGAAUCUUCUUUCCAUGAUCUCUCUCAAUAUUCGUUCCCGAAAUUCGCCUUGCGGGAUCUAAGUCAUUCAUCUCAAAUCUGCCGCUAAGUACCUGCUUUACCUUCAUGAUUUCUACUGCAUCCCUUGACGCAACCAACUUAUCAUCCACAUAUAACAAUAGAUAGAUGUAUGUACCCUUGGUUACCUUAUUGAUAUAAACACAGUGAUCAUAUUCACUCUUCACAAAUCCAUGACUAACCACAAACUAACCAAAACACUUGUUCCAUUGUCUUGGUGCCUACUUUCGUCCAUGUAAAUCUCUUCUUGUCCACAAUAUCUUCUCCUUUAACCUGAAACCGUUCUGGUUGCUCCAUGUAAAUCUCUUCUUCAAGUGUACCAUGAAGAAACAUAGUCUUUACAUCAAGUUGCUUAAGCUCCAAAUCCAGAUACACUGAAAUUGACAACAAGAACCUUAUGGAUAUAUGUUUUACGACGGGUGAUAUACUAUGGAUUUUACCCAUUUUUAGCCAUGAUAUAUAAGUGUUUUAGGAACUAUCUAUGUUGUUUUCAAGGAUUUUUAGCACUUUUACAAGUUCAUGGGUGAUUUGGAGAAAAUGAUGAUUUCGGUGUAUUUUGGAGAUAAAAUGAGAAAAAGCUCGAAGCUGACCAUCAAACCCGUUCGAGGUCGACAUUCGGAUAGGGAAGCGUGCAAAGCUUAGCCGGCUUAAAAUCUAAGUCAAGACAUAUUUACGUAAAUGCCCUGGCGACUUUUAACCUAAUAUUUAUGUGUUCUGCCAUUGUACUAGGCAAUACACACUUUCUUUACUUUCUAGUUUUUACACAGCAAACUAUUCCUAAGUUUUUUAGUAGAUUUGGAGAGAAGAUCCAAGACUCCUUUAGAGAUUUGUAUUGCAACUUCAGUAUUUCUAACUUUAAUCUAUUUAUGAAUCUUUUAUUGAUUACUGUUAUGAAUUGUUUUGCUAUGUCUGAGUAGUUCUCCUUGUUAGGUUUAGGUUCAAAUAGGAUUAUGAAGGAUUAGCCCCAAAUAUAGAAUUGGUGAGUUGUUUGUGAUAUUCAUCAGUUGAAUUGCUCUUAUUGCUUGUGUUCUAGAGUAGCUAACUAGAACCCUGAAUUUUGGAUAAUCGGGCGCAAACAGAAUUUGAUCUAGGAAACCUAGUGAACAUAGUUCAAACCCGCUCGAUAAAGCUUGCUGGAAGGUAAAUCGAUCGACAACGCUCCUUUUCAUGAUUUAGCAACAACAUCUCGUGGGAAAAAUUUAGUAAAAGGAUUCACUAGGUUGUCAGCCGAUUUGAUGUAGUCUAUUGUGAUUAAACCAGAUGAGAUAAGUUGUCUAAUAGUUUUAUGUCGUCUUUUGAUGUGAUGAGAUUUACCAUUGUAUGCGUAUAGCUGGCAUAUGUUUCUCCCACAUAGAAAUAUCUUCCAAAGAAAUUUCUAAGCCAUUCAGCUUCUUCUGCUGCUUUUUCUAAGGCUAUGAACUCAGAAUCUAUGGGGGAUCUGGCUAACACUGUUUGUUUGAUAGAUUUUCAUGAUAAUUUUUCUCCUCCUAGUGUAAAGACAUAUCCACUUGUAGAUUUUGAGUUUUUAGAAUCGGAUAUCCAGUUAGCGUUAUUGUAUUCUUCUAAACUGUUGGUUCUUUACUCUAGUGAGGCCCAAAAUCUUUGGGUACUCUCGUUAUAGCUUUCCAGUGUUUGUGACAAGGAUUACUUGGAUAUCAACUCAGUAUGUUUACUGUGUGCGCUAGAUCUGGUCUAGUAGAAUUGGUUAAGUACAUGAGACUAUUCGAUCAAACGUGCAUACUCGUUUUGUGACACUGAUUCACCUGAAUUCUUUGUUAAGUGAAGUAAAGGAUCUAACGGAGUUUUUUGCCGUACCAUUAGAGUAAUUUUUAAAUCUCUCUAAUAUUGUUUGAGCAUAAUGAAAUUGGGUUAAGAUAAUUCCGCUUGAAUUUCUUGUGACUUUACAUCUGCUAAUCUCAAGUCUUUCAUCUCAAAUUUUCCUUUGAACAUGUUCUUUGUUUGAUUGAUAAUAUCUUUAUUACUUCCAAUAAUGAUCAUAUCAUCUACAUAUAGACACAACAAAACAUACAUAUUUUUGGUAGUUUUGUAGUAUAUGCAUUUGUCACAUUCAUUAAUUUUGAAACCAUUUGACAUCAUUGUAUUGUCAAAUUUUUUGUGCCAUUGUUACGAACUUGUUUAAGCCUAUAAAGUGACUUUACAAGUUGGCAUACUCUGUCAUCAUAUACAAGAAUGACAAAACCCUCAGAGAUUGUUUCAUGUAAAUUUCCUCUUAUAAAUCAUCAUUUAGAAAGAAAAAAAAACAGUUUUUACAUUUAUUUGAUGGAUUUCGAAGUCUCUUAAAGAUGUGAUUGCUAUCAUCAGUCUUAUUGAUUAUCAAAUAUAUUUUUUUAUGAAUUAUCAUCGAUUGUUAUUUCUUAUCAUAAAUUUUCUUAUUUUUUCAAAAAUUCUUUUUCUAAAUAUAAAAUAUACAUGUUUUCUAAACUUUAAAAAAUAUAUAUAAUUAUUUGGUAUUAUAAUAGCUCUUUAAUUUUUUUAAUAAUGAUUUUUUCAUACUGUGUUGUUUUACUUGUUUUUAUUUUAAGUUUUCCAUGAUCUUUUUCACAUGAAAUUAAUUGUCUCAAGUUAUUCGUCUACUAUUUUGUGAUUUGUUUUUAAUUUUUGGUUUACUAUCCUUUUCUUAACAGUUACAAAGUAAGUGUGUGUGUUGUAUAAAUGUAUUUUAUACAUAUAUUUAAUAAUCUUAUCAACGUAUAUAGUAUUUCUAAAUUUGAAUUUUAUGAAGUAAAAUUAUUGAUAAUCUAUGUCCUUAUAGCUAGAUAAUUUAAUAGAAUUAUAAAAUCAAUGAAAACUAAACUUUUGACUAACAAAGAAUUUAACAUAGAAUUAAAAAUUUAUUAAACCAUAACAAAUAAUUUUACUAAUAUUUUAAAAAUCCAUAAAACUAUCAAUGAAAUCUCAAUUUUUUUUUUAAAAAAAUAUCUUUUAAAAUUCAUCUACCAAUCUGAAAGUGUAUAUACGCUAACAAAUAGGCACUACAAAUUCAAACAGAGAGCAUUACAUUUUGACAUACUUUGGGUUGUGUUUUUUACACUUUGACAUACUUUAAACUUGUAGAGUACGUUGAGUAUAGAAGUUGUCUUCAGUCUAACCAAAAUAACCUUAAUGAAAUUCUGGAUACGAAGUCGACGUAGUUGUGUAUAUGAAAUCAAUGAAAUUGUGGAUGUGAACAUGGUUGAGGGAUGGUGAAAGGUUUUUUAGUUGUGGUGAAGAGUAGUAUGAUUAUGAAUAUGGGAGGGCAUGUCGCGGUGGAUAGGAGAUUUGAAAAAGAAAGAUAUGGAUGGAGGCAUGUGGUCAUGGAUAGCGGAUGAGAGAUGAUUAAGGUUUUAGUGGAUGUGGUCAAUAGUGGUGUAGACAGGUGAUGGGUGAAGGUUUUGUUGGUUAAGACUACUCGAUUUUGGGAUUCUGAACCACCAUAAAACACUCCAUGAUCCAUGACCGCUGAGCAUCAUCACCAUAUGACCCUCCAUGCCUCCAUGAUUGCUAACCACUUCUUUAACCACCACAACUUUCAUAUCCACAUUCACAAGCUCCACUUCCUUUAUUAGCUCCUCCACCAUCACCUCCUCCAUUCACUCCGACUUCUGAUCCACCUCCACGGCUCUACCUCCCGAUCUUCCUCCUCCAUUCAUCCCGACUUCUGAUCCACCUCCACGGCUCCACCUCCAGCUCUUCCUCCUUCACCACCACCAUAAGACCUUACCUCUACUGGCCCCACAGCAUGGCCACUAUAACAAUUAGGUGCUCCACCGUAACCACGUUUCCACCUUAUCCUCUCCACUAACAUCCCCACUUCCACCUUAUUCUUUUCUACUAGCGACCCUUAUCAGAUUGUAUGAAACAUCGGCGUGAAAACUGUAAUCGCUAUAGAGUAGAUGUGGCGGAUUAGGGUUUUAAGGAUCAAUGAAAAAAGAGAUUUUAGGCUAUAAAAUUUUUUUGGGAAAUUUACAAGCACAAAGUAUCUCACAUGCUGAAAGUAUGAGUGGAUGUAAAUCCCCUAUACAUUAUUUGAAAAGUAAUUUUGUCACAUGUCAUUUCUACAAUCAUUUUUACAAAAAUAAUAUGACAUAGCUACUAAAAUUAAUGACAUGGCUUAUAGCUUAAUAUAACAUGGACAAUUAUAUUUAAUGUUAAUUUAUAUUUUUGUUAAUUUUUUUAAAAUAUAGUAAUAACUCAUAUAUUACAUUUAAUGUCGAUUUAUAUAUUUGGAAAAAAAAUUAGAAUCCCUUAUAUACUAGAUCACAAGUCACUCGACCAAUUCUAUUUCACCACCUAAAUAAUUCUUUUUUUUUUCAAAAACAAAUAUUGAAAAGAAAAAAACAAUCGAAACAAACACUUUAUUUCUUCCCUCACUUCAGAAAAAAAAAAAAAAAGCAAACUUAUUGUAUCAGCAUCAACCAUUACGUACAUGCACAACCAUGAUCGCCACCACCUCCUCCAUUACAUCAACCUUAAAUGAAUAACUUCUACAAAAAUAAAAUUACUUCAAACUGUUUACUUCAUCCACGAAGUCACAGAAAUGAUUUCAUCUCUCCCAUUCUUUUGAUUUGGAAGCGACAACAUCAUAUCUUCUUUUCUUUUUUCUUCUCUUGAUAAAGACUAUUCUUCAAUCUAAUGGUUUUUGAAGUUAGGGAAACGAUAAAAAUUGUGUACAAAAUAAUUCUGCAAAAUAUUAAGCAAAACUUACAGAUGGUUUACAAAAAUUCACAAGUAUACAUUGGUAGGUGGUGCAUACGAGUUCGUAUUAUAGUUAUUUAGCAAAUGAUUUAGCAUUAAAGUUAUGUCUCAACAUUUAGUUAUUUGAUGUUGUACAGUUUUGAAUUCUUUUUAGUUUGUUUUGUAGAAGAACCGAUGUUACCACAUCUUCACACGGCCAUGACUUUCUUCCUCUGAACAAAGCUCUCGACUAAAAACGAAAGUCAAUAAGCAGACUAAUUAAAAGUGAAAUGAAGAGGUAUGAAUGUCAGAAAAAUCAAACUUAAUUACAAGAAGAUUCUCUGCUUAGAUUGAAGAAACAAAACGAGAUAUUCUAGAUUAAAGUCGACACAACUAAAGAAGAAUGGAAGAGAAGGAAGACUCUCAACUCACAUACCGCUCACGUUUUGAUAAAUAGGUCAGAUGCAACCUUUUAACCAUUCAAAGGAGCAUUAAACAAAACUUUGCCAAUGAAUUAUUUUUCUCUCUUUAAACAUCAAUAAAUGUAAAAAAAACAUUUUAUGCUUGAAAUUUCUUAAAUAUCAAAUUUGUACAACCUUUAAGUGACUAUUUUGAACAGUAUUUUAUGUAAUAAACUAGAGGUUGGCCCGCCCUACGGGCGGGUGAUUUUACACUAAAAUAAUUUUAUAUCAAAAUAAAUUUUUAUGUUAUAAAAUAUUUGAAAUUUUAUUUUUUACUGGAUAUAAUAAAUGUAAUCUCUUUUUAUUCUAAAAUUAUAUUUUAAAUUUUAUUAGAUUUUUUUGGUUUUGAAUUAAAAAGACCACUAACAAUUCUAUUUUGUCAGAAAACACAAAAUUAUUAAAUUAAAAAUUAAGGAAAAUAUAAUUUUUUAUAUUUUUAAUACCGCAACUGCAACCGCAACCACUGCGUUUGAACCAGUCAGGCCCUUACUUAGACUCGCGAGGAGCCAAUAUUACACUCGCACUUGUUUAAGUCAUAAUAAACACUCGUUAAAAAAAAAAAAAAAUCCUCGAAGCAAUGAGCCAGCUUUACUUUAAUUAAAAUGAAUCCCGUUUAAGUCAUAAUAAAUACUAUUAAAAAAGUUACAUGGCUGAAUUAAUGCAAAACUAUAUCCUCAUUACAGGAAAGAAUCAAAAGUUGACUAUUAAGCGUUCCUUUUCAAAGAUUACAACAUUAAGACUACUAGGUGACCGGUGCGGGCAUAAGAACAUGAUCGGUCCGCACCCUGUGUUCUCGGUCCGUACUUCAGGAGAGGGAACACAGUAACGCCAGUAUGAAGAGGCAGAUAUUGUGUGUAUGUAUAAUUGCAACGUCACAAAAUAUUUGGUGUGUUUACGAAGAUACUUUCAUUCAAAAAAUGGAAUAAAUAGUGUAUAGUUUUAGAAGUAACAAAUUUUAUAUUAUCAUUGAUUAGAAUUGUAUUGUAUAUGUUUCGUAAUUCUUUAUUUUAGGUGAAUAAUAUUAUUUUUCCAUAAAUAAUAAACAAACAUUUAUGUAGACAUAUUAAAAGAAAAUAUAAUAAAAAUCAAAAUAUUAUCCAUAAAUAAUAUAAAUUAUGAAGUACAUUUCUCGAUAAAGAAAGCAAAUUCAAUUAGAAACUUGCAAAAAAUUAAAUAAAUUUUGUAAGCAAUUUGACGGGUUAACAUUAUUUGAUAGAUUUAUAAAUUUCUAAAUUUUAUUGAACAUGAAAUAAUAUUAAAUUGACAUACCGUCAUCGAAAUAGUAGAAAUACUUGAUUCGUAAGCUGUGAAGGUAUACCGCGCAUCCGCAAAAUACUCCUCCGGAACUUCACUCGGAAAUUCAUCAGUUGUUCCAACAAAAUUUGUUUGAAAGAAGCCAAUUUUGUACGGAUGCGCGGUUGUGUGAUAAUCACCAAUAGCAUCGUACAAUUUGAAUAAGUGGACAACCUUUGCAUCGCCCUCGGUUAGUUUCCCUUCAAAUUGUUUGAUGAGCUAUUCACCAACUGAAGCAUGAAUUCUUGUCCCCUACAGAAGAUGAGAUAAAGUUAUAUGAGUUGGAUUGAGAACAAAAGACUAAAGACGAUUAUGAGUUGUAAAAAAUGUAGUAAUCUACUUACUUCUUUAUCAACGAAAACCAUUUCGAUGGUGUUUCCGGAAUCUUUGUUGUAAUUUCUCCACAAGUGAAGAAUCCUAACCUCAAUACGUCAUGUAUCUUUACAUGGUUUUAAUUGCCUGAUAAAAGACACUCGNNNNNNNNNNNNNNNNNNNNNNNNNNNNNNNNNNNNNNNNNNNNNNNNNNNNNNNNNNNNNNNNNNNNNNNNNNNNNNNNNNNNNNNNNNNNNNNNNNNNNNNNNNNNNNNNNNNNNNNNNNNNNNNNNNNNNNNNNNNNNNNNNNNNNNNNNNNNNNNNNNNNNNNNNNNNNNNNNNNNNNNNNNNNNNNNNNNNNNNNNNNNNNNNNNNNNNNNNNNNNNNNNNNNNNNNNNNNNNNNNNNNNNNNNNNNNNNNNNNNNNNNNNNNNNNNNNNNNNNNNNNNNNNNNNNNNNNNNNNNNNNNNNNNNNNNNNNNNNNNNNNNNNNNNNNNNNNNNNNNNNNNNNNNNNNNNNNNNNNNNNNNNNNNNNNNNNNNNNNNNNNNNNNNNNNNNNNNNNNNNNNNNNNNNNNNNNNNNNNNNNNNNNNNNNNNNNNNNNNNNNNNNNNNNNNNNNNNNNNNNNNNNNNNNNNNNNNNNNNNNNNNNNNNNNNNNNNNNNNNNNNNNNNNNNNNNNNNNNNNNNNNNNNNNNNNNNNNNNNNNNNNNNNNNNNNNNNNNNNNNNNNNNNNNNNNNNNNNNNNNNNNNNNNNNNNNNNNNNNNNNNNNNNNNNNNNNNNNNNNNNNNNNNNNNNNNNNNNNNNNNNNNNNNNNNNNNNNNNNNNNNNNNNNNNNNNNNNNNNNNNNNNNNNNNNNNNNNNNNNNNNNNNNNNNNNNNNNNNNNNNNNNNNNNNNNNNNNNNNNNNNNNNNNNNNNNNNNNNNNNNNNNNNNNNNNNNNNNNNNNNNNNNNNNNNNNNNNNNNNNNNNNNNNNNNNNNNNNNNNNNNNNNNNNNNNNNNNNNNNNNNNNNNNNNNNNNNNNNNNNNNNNNNNNNNNNNNNNNNNNNNNNNNNNNNNNNNNNNNNNNNNNNNNNNNNNNNNNNNNNNNNNNNNNNNNNNNNNNNNNNNNNNNNNNNNNNNNNNNNNNNNNNNNNNNNNNNNNNNNNNNNNNNNNNNNNNNNNNNNNNNNNNNNNNNNNNNNNNNNNNNNNNNNNNNNNNNNNNNNNNNNNNNNNNNNNNNNNNNNNNNNNNNNNNNNNNNNNNNNNNNNNNNNNNNNNNNNNNNNNNNNNNNNNNNNNNNNNNNNNNNNNNNNNNNNNNNNNNNNNNNNNNNNNNNNNNNNNNNNNNNNNNNNNNNNNNNNNNNNNNNNNNNNNNNNNNNNNNNNNNNNNNNNNNNNNNNNNNNNNNNNNNNNNNNNNNNNNNNNNNNNNNNNNNNNNNNNNNNNNNNNNNNNNNNNNNNNNNNNNNNNNNNNNNNNNNNNNNNNNNNNNNNNNNNNNNNNNNNNNNNNNNNNNNNNNNNNNNNNNNNNNNNNNNNNNNNNNNNNNNNNNNNNNNNNNNNNNNNNNNNNNNNNNNNNNNNNNNNNNNNNNNNNNNNNNNNNNNNNNNNNNNNNNNNNNNNNNNNNNNNNNNNNNNNNNNNNNNNNNNNNNNNNNNNNNNNNNNNNNNNNNNNNNNNNNNNNNNNNNNNNNNNNNNNNNNNNNNNNNNNNNNNNNNNNNNNNNNNNNNNNNNNNNNNNNNNNNNNNNNNNNNNNNNNNNNNNNNNNNNNNNNNNNNNNNNNNNNNNNNNNNNNNNNNNNNNNNNNNNNNNNNNNNNNNNNNNNNNNNNNNNNNNNNNNNNNNNNNNNNNNNNNNNNNNNNNNNNNNNNNNNNNNNNNNNNNNNNNNNNNNNNNNNNNNNNNNNNNNNNNNNNNNNNNNNNNNNNNNNNNNNNNNNNNNNNNNNNNNNNNNNNNNNNNNNNNNNNNNNNNNNNNNNNNNNNNNNNNNNNNNNNNNNNNNNNNNNNNNNNNNNNNNNNNNNNNNNNNNNNNNNNNNNNNNNNNNNNNNNNNNNNNNNNNNNNNNNNNNNNNNNNNNNNNNNNNNNNNNNNNNNNNNNNNNNNNNNNNNNNNNNNNNNNNNNNNNNNNNNNNNNNNNNNNNNNNNNNNNNNNNNNNNNNNNNNNNNNNNNNNNNNNNNNNNNNNNNNNNNNNNNNNNNNNNNNNNNNNNNNNNNNNNNNNNNNNNNNNNNNNNNNNNNNNNNNNNNNNNNNNNNNNNNNNNNNNNNNNNNNNNNNNNNNNNNNNNNNNNNNNNNNNNNNNNNNNNNNNNNNNNNNNNNNNNNNNNNNNNNNNNNNNNNNNNNNNNNNNNNNNNNNNNNNNNNNNNNNNNNNNNNNNNNNNNNNNNNNNNNNNNNNNNNNNNNNNNNNNNNNNNNNNNNNNNNNNNNNNNNNNNNNNNNNNNNNNNNNNNNNNNNNNNNNNNNNNNNNNNNNNNNNNNNNNNNNNNNNNNNNNNNNNNNNNNNNNNNNNNNNNNNNNNNNNNNNNNNNNNNNNNNNNNNNNNNNNNNNNNNNNNNNNNNNNNNNNNNNNNNNNNNNNNNNNNNNNNNNNNNNNNNNNNNNNNNNNNNNNNNNNNNNNNNNNNNNNNNNNNNNNNNNNNNNNNNNNNNNNNNNNNNNNNNNNNNNNNNNNNNNNNNNNNNNNNNNNNNNNNNNNNNNNNNNNNNNNNNNNNNNNNNNNNNNNNNNNNNNNNNNNNNNNNNNNNNNNNNNNNNNNNNNNNNNNNNNNNNNNNNNNNNNNNNNNNNNNNNNNNNNNNNNNNNNNNNNNNNNNNNNNNNNNNNNNNNNNNNNNNNNNNNNNNNNNNNNNNNNNNNNNNNNNNNNNNNNNNNNNNNNNNNNNNNNNNNNNNNNNNNNNNNNNNNNNNNNNNNNNNNNNNNNNNNNNNNNNNNNNNNNNNNNNNNNNNNNNNNNNNNNNNNNNNNNNNNNNNNNNCCGCUACCACCCGCAAACGCAGCUUUUGCGGUUGGUAGCGGUUGUCGGCGGUUUGCAACAAUCACUCAAAUCGCUCUAAACCGCUUCAAACCGCUCCGAAUCUCAUAAAUUCAAAAGCUGGCUCCAGCUAGCGUUUGCGGUUGCAGGCGGUUGCGGGAGGGUAAAAUUUUUUUCUUUUUUUAAAAAAAAUAUAUAUACAAAAGCAAAAAUAUUUAAUAAAAAAUUUAAAAUUUAAAUUAUGAAAAUAUUAAAAUAUAUCUAUUAUAUUUUAAUUAAUAUUAUAAAAUUUAAUAAUAAAAACAAUUUCAAAAAAUUUUCAAAAAAUUAAAAUUAUAACUUUCUAAAUAUAAAUUUUAUAUUUAUUAUAAUUUUAUGAUUUUUGAUAUUUUUAUAAUUAUAUUAAAUGUAAAUAUUGUUAAUUUAUUAUUUGACUGUUACCGCAUUUGGUAGUUAACCAGUCAUAAGUCACCCGCAAACGCACCAAUUUUUAACUGCAAUACCAGUCGUACAAAUCUCUUAAAAUCGCUAGAAACCGCAACCUCCCGCAUGCACAAACUCCCGCAACCGCAACCGCAACCACUGCGUUUGAACCAGUCAGGCUCUUAAUCAUUUCAAUUCUGAAAAACCGGUAUGACAGUUUUAUGAACUAACACCUUCAUAAACUAUUUUAAAAUACCAUAUUAGUUAAAUAAUAUAAGAUUUUACAAUGUAUAGUUUUUGAUAUUAAGAUAGGAAAAUAUUUUUUUCAAUAAUUUUGAAAAUUUUAAUUUCCAAAACUUGUGAAACUCAUUAAUACCUUGAAAAUAUAAGUUAAAUAUGGCUUUUUGUUGUUUGUUGCUGGCAAGUUUGCAAAAACCUGUUGACUGACAAUUUCGUAUUUUCUAGGUGGAAAUACAGUUCAAUCUCGUGAUCGUUUAUAAAUUUUUGCGUGGCAAUUUUCAAGACGAAUUUGAUGUGUUAAUCAAAUCAUACUUGUUUAAUGUUUAUGUUCUUCGUGUUUCUUAUCCUUUUCGAGUUGGUUUGAUUUAAUAAAGUUUCGUUUUCUCUCUUUUCUCCUCUAUGUUUCAAAUCAAAUCCCAUUUGAUACUCAAGAUAUGUUACUCUAGCUGGUUAUGCUCAGUCUUUAUUCUCGAGAUGGAAUCAAUCUUUGUAGUUAUCCUGACAUAUGCAAAGUCUCCAAAUCAGUUUAAGGAAUGAGCUGUUGGUUUUAUUUUCAUGGUUUUAUAUAGAUUCAGCAGAAAUUUUAUUUUAUAGGUUAUAAAUAUUAAAAGUAAUAAAUAAAACAUUAUUAGUCUUUCAAUAAUUUCGAGAAUAGUUUCCAUAAAUUGUUAUUUGUAAUAUUCGUUAGAUUAUAUGGCAAGUGAUGUUAAACGUCAAUAAGUUAAACAAUUCUUCCAUAUUUGGAAAACAUAUAUAUAUAUAUAUAACAAUGACAAAUUAAAUGGUAGAGUAUGUAAACACAUGUUUUCUACCAGCGUGAGUUAGAACACCGCCGUAUUUAAGAAUCAUAAGGGCCUCUACAGGUCUUUAUUCUUCGCCUUCACCAUCCCACUUCAGCGGCUUUAGUUGAACCUUCAUGUAUUUCCCUGAGAAAUUUCCUCUCUGCGCCAUUCCAAAAGGUUUUCUGCUGUGUGAAAAUGACCUCAUAAAUUAAAUAAAAAAUGCAUAAUGUUAGCUUACUUAUAAGAUAGUAUAUUCAACAAAAAAAAAUGAUAUAAGAUAAUAUUACUAAAUGAUACUAUGUAAUACUUUCCCGGACAAUAUUCAACAAAGAGAGAGAGAAAGUACUAAAGAACCUCUUCAAGAACUGCUUUAACUUGGCGAAGCUUCUCAGCAUGUUCAAUCAAGGUUUUCUGGAUCACUAUCACUCUCACGACCUGGUCUACAUAUAAAAAAAGGAAGACCAUAUUGUCGUUACCAGUAUUCAACACAUGGAAAAGAUAGACCAGACAUGCUUUUUGGAGACAAGACACAAAGAGUUGAGUUCAGGGUUCUAAAGAUGAGGAGCCUUUGCGUCUAAACACAUUUUUCUUAGCACACAAGCAGCAUUGUCGUAAUACCUUAAUAGUAUGAGAGGAGAGAUUUGUGAAUAAUACUUUAAAGAAUGAAAAGAGAAUGUUUGUAUUUUAAGACCUUGGGUGUCUCCUAUAUAUAUACAGUCGAUUUAUUCUCAUAUUAAUGAUUUUAAUAUUUUGCACAAUAAAUAAUAAAAUCGUUUAAAGAAAGAUAUUAAAUGUGUAUUGUCAAAAAAUGAUUUGCAUAUGAUAUGAUUUUAACUUGCGCAAGUAAUCCAUAUUAGAAAGGUAAGUUAUUAAAAACAAACAACCUAAUUAGAAACAUUAAAAUAUUUUGUAAGCAAUAUAAUAAAUAUGAUAUCAACAUGCGCAAGUUUACCGUUUGAAUAAUAAGGAAAGUUUUUAAUAUUUGUCUUAAUUCUAAAUCUUGCCCAAGGGUAAACUAAAUCGAUAAAAUUUAAUGAUUUCAACUUGCGCAAGUAAUCCAUAUUGUGAAUAAGUGAUUUGCAUAUUUAAUGAUUUCAACUUGCGCAAGUAAUCUAUAUUAGAAAGGUAAGUUAUUAAAAACAAAUUUUGUCAAUAAGUUAUUUGCAUAUUUAAUGAUUUCAACUUGCGCAAGUAAUCCAUAUUAGAAAGGUAAGUUAUUAAAAACAAACAACCUAAUUAGUAGGGGUGGGCACUUUACCCGAUAUCCGAAGUGGCACCCGAACCCGAUCCGAAAAACCCGAACCGAAAUCCGAACCGAAGUAGCAAAAUACCCGAACGGGUAUUGAAUAAGGAGAGAUUGGAUACCCGAACCCGAAUGGAUAUCCGAAGAUAACCGAACAUAUGUAUAAUUAACCUUAUAUUUCUAGUUUACAUCUCUCAUUUUAUAUAAAAUAUUUAUAUUGAUACUAUACAUACUUUAAGUUCAUAUGAUAUACAUACAAUUACGGAAAAAAUGAUUUGCUAUUCACUUAAAAUGCAUGUAAAGUUUUUUAUUUCAAAAAUUAACAAAAAGUUACAUCCAACAUUUAAAAAAAAUAACUAAAUUAAUGUCUUUUUAGUUUUAAAAUAUUAUGGCCAAAUCUAUUAACCAUUCAAUCUAUUAAAAAUAAAAAAAUUAGUUAAGUGAAAGUUAUAUUUUUAAAUAUAAGAAACUUGAGAAAUGAAAAUUUAAUUUUUUUUUUCAAAAUCUAAAUAUCCGAACCCGAUCCGAAAUAACCGAAUCCGAACUAAAAAUACCCGAACCCGACCCGAAGUACAGAAAUACCCGAACGGGUUCUACACCUCUAUACCGAAAUACCCGAAAAUCCGAAAUACCCGACCCGAACCCGAACGGGUACCCAAGGCUAAACUAAAUCGAUAAUUAUUAUCUCCUAGCUAUAUAUGGGCUUAACGAAAUCAACAAUAGUUUUGGGCUUGUCUACAUAAGUGAUUGAUUAAAAUAAAUGAAAAAGAAAAAUUCAAAAAAUCCAGCCAAUAGAAUUAUAACAUUUUUCCUGAGAAGCUCUAUAUGAGUGCCACCUCAGCAAAAAUCACUAAAGUGACUUCUCUUUUAAUGUAUAGGGGGAUUAAGCUGACUUGAAUCGUUUCUCUACUCUCAGAGUUGCUAUUUGCUAAUCUGGGGAAGUCGUCGUUUAGUAGCUGGAUUCUUUUCGCAAAUGAAAAAACAGAAAGAAACAAAACCAAGAUUAAAAAAAUAAUAGUAAUAGAUAAGAAAGACAAAAUAAAGUUCUCCUUUAUUAUCAGUACAGUCAAUGAGCGUUCUUUCCGCCAUAGAAAUUCUCUGAGGAAAAACCCAAUAGAGAUCCAACUUAUUACCAUGGAGACUCCUAUGGCUUCUCUUCAUUGUCUGUAUCCUCUGAUCUUCUUCUUCUGCAAAAUCUAUUUUAUAAACUUGUAUUUAUCAUAUGCUAUCAUCUUCAUAGUAAGACAUCGGUUAUCUUUGUUCUAUAUUCUUAAUGACAAUGAUUUAAUCCAAUUGAGUUCUGUAACGGUACCGGCUUUACAUCAGUGGUCAGAAGAGCAGCCGGCGAUUCGAAACAGACAGUUGCAUCCAACAGAGAUUUGCCGGGAUUAAUCAUCUCCCCGUCAUAACUUUCGUCUCCAUCACGGAUUCAAUAAGCAUCCUCUGGAACAGAAUGCCAUUUGUGAAUCAUAUCCACAGUUUCCGGAAUCUAUAUACUGGUCCACGCUGAAGCUACCUCCUCCUACGCCGGAAAUUUCUCAGAGAAAUCUGUUGCCGUAAAAUCCGACCAUUUAGAACGAUGAUCGAUUCAACGAUCAUGUUAUCGACUGGAUAUCCAAACCAUUUUCUUAGAUAUUGCCAUACCACCACAGCUUAAGUGACCGUCGCGAACACUCUUGAUUCUUCAUAGAGAGUGACCUUGGGGAUUUUGUUGCGAUAGGACUGAUCAUUGCAAGAGACGAACACAUUUACAGUCGAAGCUUGAGGAGGUUAUCUUGGCAGAUGCUAAUGCCUAUUUAAUUCCAGAGAGUGGGAGGAGUGGUAUAGAAUACGUAAUGAUGGUGAUAAAGACGCUAACUGAAGACGUUACAGAGAGAUGAAGGUCAGAGAUGGUGAAAUCUGAAAAGACACAGCGAUUCGCUCUGCAAAUCUGCCAGCAAAAGUGAUGCAAAUCCUAACUAAAGUUGGGCCUCCUAUGAAAAACAAUAAAAGCCCAUUUCAUUAAUCAUAUUAUUAAUUGUUAGCCCAAAUUAAAAUACACUUUGCGAGAAAGCUUAUUCGUAUGAUUAACAAAGGAAGACACGUGUCAAAGAAUGCCCCAUGCUGAAUAAUGACGUGGAGUGCUGAGGUGAGAGAAAACUCUAUUUUAUUAUUAUAGAUUAUAGAUAUCAUAGGCUGAACAUAUAAGACCAACUCCAACGAGGGAAUGGUAAGAGGUCCUUAACUUUUUUUUAAAAAUGAAAAAUCAACAAAACAAAGAGAGAGAAACACACAAAAAUCCUAAUCUUACAACUUUUUAGAACCUUUACCAACCUCCAAAGUACAUGUGUUAAUCAGACAUUGUUUCAAACGAUUGUAAAAAGCAAAAAUAAUUAUAAUAUUAAUUACAAUGCUGUCCUAAGCAUGUCUGGAUAGGCUUGAGGCCAUUUUGAAUUUGGUAAAAUAAAAUAAGUAAUCAGCUAAAUAUGUUUACUUUUUUUUGUCGACAAGUAAAUAUAUUCACAUAUAAAAAUUAUUAGCAUACUAUCUCAAAUUUUGGUCAAACAAGUAUAAUAUCUAAAUUAUGCAAUAUUUAUUUUACUAUAUUUCACUAAUAAAUAUAGUAAAAUGUCAUGUAUCAUCAAUUACGUUUUUUUAUAAUUAUUCAGAUUUCUCUGUAUGUAAAAUUAAUAUAUUUUCUGGUCACAACACUUUUAAGUUGAACUAAAAAGAAGAGGCUUUGUUAUUUAUGAAGAACAAAAAUAACAUUUUCAAAUUUAUUUAAAACAAUGAAAGAAUACCCGUGCUUAGCACGGGAGAAACAUACUAGUACGGUAAUAACUCAUCAAUCAUCAUUAAAAUAAAUAUAUAAAAAUAUGGCAUUACAAACUUUGAAAUAUCAUUUAAUUAUAUAUUUUGAAUUAUACAAUUUUACUACUAAAAUUUUCAAAAAUGUAUAUAUAUUUUUUUGAAAAUUACAAAAAUUUAAUCGUAAAAUCAUUAGUUUCUUAUAUAUCUAUAAAUUUUAUAAAUAUUGUUUAGUUUUAAUUUUUGAUAAUUAUGCAGGUUUUUACAAAUAUAUUUAAUUAAAAUAAAUAUAUAUAAAAAUCUAUCUAAGCUUAUAAUUUUAAAUAUAUACAUGCAUAUUCUUAAAUAUAAUUUAAAAUAAACAAAAUAAUUUUUAUCUUAAUUUUUAUGUUUAAUUAAAUCAAAUUUAUAUUAAAAUGCAGACAACAUACUUUCAUGGCUGAAAUGUUUGCGAAUUUCGAUUGUGAUAUUUUAAAUAUAAUUUAUAUUUAUCUGUUAAAAUUUUUUUAAAUUUUUUUCUCCACAUGGUGCAGGAAAACACCUAGUAUGUGAGUAAAAAGCUUGUCAUGUAAUAUUUUCAUGGAAAAUUGUCACAAAUGACACAUUUAUAGUACUACUUUUCAUAUUUAUACUAAUCACUUUUACCAUCAAUUUUAAUGAAGGAUAAAAGAUACUUAUACCCUUAGGGUUAACUAAUAUAGACUUAGGUUUAGAGUCGAGGUGUGGGGUAGGAUUUCUGGAAUGUGAAAAUUAAGAUUAUAAUAAAUAUAUAAAUAAGUACUUAAAAAAUAUUUAAAAAAAUUUCAAAAAUAGUUUCAAACAUAAUUUUCGAUUUUCAAAAAGAAAUUUUGAAAAAAAAUCAAAAAAAUAAUUAUAAAAAUGUUCGAAUUUGAAAAAGUAUAAUUCGAAAACAUUAUUUUUUUAAUUCUUUUAUUUAUUUAAAUAAUGAUUUAUUAUAUAUAUAUAACAAAUGUAUAAAAACCUUUUGUCACUUAACUAAGAAUGUAAUUUUAAAAAUGUCUUUUUAGUAGUGGUAAAAACUAUAAGUGGUAUAAAGAAAGCUGUAAACCUAAAAUCGCCCUAUUUUCAUACAGAUGAGACAGAUAUUUGACAUAAAGUUUAUGGGCCUCAGAAACUAGAUCUCGUAACAAAGUGUGGCCCAACUCUCGGCCCAUCUCAAAGCUUCCGCUUUCACAACCUUCUCUUCGAUCAUCUCUCAGAGGACACGUCCGAUGCUUCUCCGAUCUCCAGAAUCGUCCCACUCGACAUAGCCAUUUGCAAGCAGAUCCACCGUCGCCGCGUUUCUGGCGAAUAAGGAGUAACAAGGAUCUGAUCUCAAUUGAGUUUUCGUGGCUAAGCUCCCACUCUACCGCAUCGGCUCGAUCCUUCACCAUACACUGAGAGCUUCUACACAUACGCCAUUGAACCCAAAGAAACACUUCAAAGAGUAGAAUCUGGAUCUCUUUCUCCGAUCCCGAUCUCUCCAGUACAUUUGGUCUCGUUAGAUAGGUAGGCUGAGUCUCUCGAUCCUCUUCCUCCUUCCCUUUAAGUUUCAAACUGUUCUACGUAUUAGCUCUUAAGUUUUAAUAGGUAGUUUUGCUGACUUGCGAUUCAAUGAGAUCUGAAUUGUAUGGUUUUGAAUUUGCAGCUCUACAUGCUUCGUGUGUGUAUUGGUGUUUGAGGACGAGUUAUGGGGUAUCAGAAUCACCAUCCAUCGGGAAGCAGCAACUCGUUCCAUGGAGGAGAGUUCAACAAACCGUCCAAAGUUGCUGUGGCGUCUAUGAUCAACUCCGAGAUCGGCGCAGUUUUGGCUGUGAUGAGGAGGAACGUGCGUUGGGGUGUCCGCUACAUUGCGGAUGAUGAUCAGUUGGAGCAUUCCCUUAUCCAUUCUUUGAAAGAAUUGCGUAAGCAGAUAUUCUCAUGGCAGAGCAAUUGGCAAAACGUUGACCCCAAGCUGUACAUACAGCCGUUUCUGGAUGUUAUACUCUCUGAUGAAACCGGGGCUCCCAUCACCGGCGUUGCUUUGUCCUCUGUCUACAAGAUCUUGACCCUUGAUGUUUUCACGCUUGACACCGUGAAUGUGGGAGAGGCGAUGCAUAUCAUAGUGGAUGCUGUGAAAAGCUGCCGUUUUGAGGUGACUGAUCCUGCCUCCGAGGAAGUGGUUUUGAUGAAGAUACUUCAGGUUCUUCUGGCUUGUAUAAAGUGUAAGGCGGCUAGUGGGUUGAGUAAUCAGGAUAUUUGCACCAUCGUCAACACUUGUUUGCGUGUUGUUCAUCAGUCUAGCUCCAAAAGUGAGUUGUUGCAGCGUAUAGCACGCCACACGAUGCAUGAGUUGGUUAGAUGCAUCUUCUCUCAGCUUCCUUGUAUCGGCCCGCUGGCUAAUGAAAGCGAAUUACCCGUCGGCGAUAAGGUGAUUCAAUUUGACCUUCCUUGCUAGAAUUUUUAUAUGUUUGUUCUAUAGAUAGAAUAUUUAACAUGUUUCAGUGACGCCAAAAGUCAUAUCGUAUUAUGAUUUAUCUGCUAUGCGUAUUGAUUGAUUGAAGAUGCCUCAUGACUAAGUUUAAUGGUGAAUUGGGUUGACCAUCUGUUUGUUUUCCACAAAUUUCUCACGGUAUUCUUUCUUGUCUAGGUGGGAACAGUGGAUUGGGAUCAGAAUUCUGGAGAAAACACAGUUGAAAAUGGAAGUAUUGAUACUCUCGGCGUUGAGAAAGAUUCUCCAAGUUCUGAGAUGGUUAUUCCAGAAACAGUAGUCAAAAAAGAUGAAAAGGGAGCUGAGGUCAGUGAUGACUUAAAUGUUGCUGCGAAUGGUGAAAAUGCAAUGUUGGCGCCUUUUGGUAUUCCAUGCAUGGUAGAGAUUUUUCAUUUCCUGUGUACUCUGUUGAAUAUUGGAGAAAACAGUGAAGUCAAUUCCAGAUCUAACCCUAUAGCAUUUGAUGAAGACGUUCCUCUUUUCGCUCUGGGUUUAAUUAAUUCUGCUAUAGAACUUGGAGGCUCUUCUUUCCGUGAGCACCCAAAAUUGUUGAGUUUGAUUCAGGAUGAGUUAUUCUGUAACUUGAUGCAGUUUGGUAUGUCGAUGAGCCCUCUGAUUCUUUCUACAGUUUGCAGCAUCGUUCUUAAUCUCUACCUGACUCUCCGUACUGAACUUAAGGUACAGCUUGAAGCUUUCUUCUCAUGCGUACUUCUGAGGAUUGCACAGAGCAAGCAUGGCUCUUCUUACCAGCAACAGGAGGUUGCUAUGGAAGCUCUGGUUGAUUUUUGCAGACAGCAUACUUUCAUGGCUGAAAUGUUUGCGAAUUUCGAUUGUGAUAUAACAUGCAGUAAUGUGUUCGAAGAUGUUUCAAAUUUGCUAUCAAAGAGUGCCUUCCCAGUUAACGGGCCUUUAUCUGCUAUGCACAUAAUUGCAUUGGAUGGGUUAAUCUCCAUGGUUCAGGGAAUGGCUGAAAGGGUUGGUGAGGAAUUGCCGGGUUCAAAUGUUUCGACACAUGAAGAAGGAUACGAAGCAUUUUGGACAGUGAGAUGUGAGAACUACGGAGAUCCUAAUUUAUGGGUUCCCUUUGUCCGAAAGUCAAAGCACAUCAAGAAAAAGCUGAUGGUUGGUGCUGAUCAUUUUAACAGUGAUCCUAAAAAAGGUCUGCAGCAACUCCAAGCGAUGCACUUGUUACCUGAAGAACUUGAUCCAAAGAGUGUGGCAUGUUUCUUCAGGUAUACAUGUGGGAUAGAUAAGAACCUUAUAGGAGAUUUCUUGGGAAAUCAUGACCAGUUCUGUGUUCAGGUUCUUCAUGAGUUUGCCAAGACGUUUGACUUCCAGAAUAUGAAUCUUGAUAACGCCCUGCGUCUCUUUGUGGGGACAUUUAGAUUGCCUGGCGAGUCGCAGAAGAUACAGAGGGUGCUUGAAGCGUUUUCUGAGAGAUACUAUGAGCAGUCACCACAGAUAUUGAUUGAUAAAGACGCUGCCCUCUUGUUAUCUUAUUCGAUUAUCUUGCUGAACACAGAUCACCACAACACUCAGGUCAAGAAAAAGAUGACUGAAGAAGAUUUCAUCCGUAACAACAGGUGCAUAAAUGGAGGCGCAGAUCUUCCCAGGGAAUACUUAUCUGAGCUUUAUCAUUCAAUCUGCGACAGUGAGAUUCAGAUGAUCCCAGAUCAAGGAACCGGUUUCCAAAUGAUGACCUCCAGUCGGUGGAUUAGUGUGAUUUACAAGUCCAAAGAAACCAGUCCCUAUAUCAUAUGUGACAGCGCAUCGUAUCUGGACCGUGACAUGUUUCAUAUCGUGUCCGGUCCCACUAUUGCUGCUACAUCUGUGGUUUUUGAGCAAGCAGAGCAAGAAGAUGUUCUGCAGAGAUGUGUUGAUGGGUUAUUGGCCAUUGCAAAACUUUCAGCGUAUUACCAUUUGAAUAGUGUAUUGGAUGAUCUGGUCGUGUCUCUCUGCAAAUUCACGCCAUUCUUCGCGUCGUUAUCUGUUGAUGAAGCUGUUCUUGCUAUAGGAGAAGAUGCCAGAGCAAGAAUGGCUACUGAAAGUGUGUUCUUGAUCGCAAACAAAUACGGCGACUAUAUCACUUCGGGAUGGAAAAACGUACUGGAAUGUGUCUUGAGCCUCCACAAACUCCAGAUUUUACCAGCUCAUAUAGCUAGUGAUGCUGCGGAUGACCCAGAGGAAGAAAGACCUUUAGCAAAUCCCUUAUCAGUAGUAUCACAGGUACAACCCUCAGAGACCCCUCGAAAAUCCUCUAGUUUUAUCGGUCGGUUUAGCCAGCUUUUGUCCUUUGACAUGGAGGAGACGAAGCCAUUAUUACCUACCGAGGAAGAACUUGCAGCCUAUAAGCACGCUCGUGGUAUAGUGAAAGAUUGUCAUAUUGAUAGCAUAUUCUCAGACAGCACGUUUCUCCAAGCCGAGUCCCUGCAACAGCUAGUAAACUCUCUCAUAAAGGCAGCCGCGAAAGAUAAAGAUAGUGCUGUCUUUUGCCUGGAGCUUUUAAUUGCAGUAACUCUAAACAACCGAGACAGAAUCCUACUGAUCUGGCAAACUGUUUACGAGCACAUCUCGGGUAUAGUUCAAUCAACGACGACACCAUGCCCGCUUGUGGAAAAGGCUGUGUUUGGUGUGUUGAAGAUUUGUCAGAGAUUAUUGCCUUACAAGGAGAAUCUAACAGAUGAGCUUCUGAAAUUACUCCAACUGGUUCUCAAACUUGAUGCAAGAGUGGCUGAUGCAUACUGUGAGCCCAUAACGCAAGAAGUAGCCCGUCUUGUAAAAGCGAAUGCAUCUCACGUCAGAUCUCAUGUUGGUUGGAGAACAAUCAUAUCUCUGAUAUCAAUCACAGCUCGACAUCCAGAAGCUUCUGAUGCUGGAUUCGAAGCUCUCCGGUUUAUAAUGUCAGAAGGAGCUCACUUGUUGCUAGCAAACUACAUUCUUUGUUCGGAUGCAGCUAGGCAGUUUGCUGAAUCCCGUGUCGGGGAAAUCGAUCGGUCUAUCUCAGCCAUCGACUUAAUGUCAAACUCUGUGUUCUGUCUUGCUAGGUGGUCUCAAGAGGCGAAAAACUCGGUGGGAGAAGAUGAAGCUAUGAGGAAACUAAGUCAAGACGUCGGAGAGAUGUGGCUCAGGCUUGUGAACAACCUCAAAAGGGUUUGUCUUGAUCAACGCGACCAAGUGAGAAACCACGCCAUCUCAAUGCUACAGAGAUCAAUAGCCGGUGCAGACGGAAUCAUGUUACCACAACCAAUAUGGUUCCAAUGCUUCGACGCCGCAAUCUUCCCGUUGCUAGACGAACUGCUCGCUGUUUCGAUCGAGAAUUCAAGAAAGACAUUCAAGAAAACAGUUGAAGAAACGCUUGUGCUCGCCACAAAGCUCAUGUCAAAGGCCUUUCUUCAAGCUCUCCAAGACAUCUCGCAGCAACCAUCGUUCUGCAGACUCUGGCUUGGUGUAUUGGACCGUAUGGAGACUUACAUGUCGACCAAGUUCAGAGGGAAACGCAGCGAGAAAGUCCAUGAACUCAUACCGGAACUGCUGAAGAACACGUUGCUGGUGAUGAAGACGACGGGUGUUUUACUACCAGGUGAUGAUAUUGGAAGUGAUAGUUUCUGGCAACUGACUUGGCUUCAUGUCAAGAAGAUAUCUCCUUCUCUGCAAUCUGAAGUGUUCCCUCAAGAGGAGCUUGAUCAGUUUCAGAGACGAAACGCUAAGCCUGAGGAUACUCCGGUGGUACCGGAAAACUAAGACUCAGAACGGUGGUGGUGGAGUAGUAAGGAUUUGUUUUUAUACAGAAAAGCAUUAUUGAGAAGUUUUUUUUAGAAACUAUAUCGAAAUAUUAUAUCUUUGCAGUAUAGCCUUUUGUUUGAAUAUAGUACUUUUGAGCUUUUGGAUUUUUAUGGAAUGUCACGUUGGAGUUAUGGCUUUGAUUGGAGAUUUGCUUGGAGGCGAUUCAGGAAAGCGUUGUCACAAGUUGCACAAAUCGGCUUUUGAGUUUACCAAUAGAACGGACAGAUAAAAUGAACAGUUGAACUGAGUGAGCUUUUCAGGGUGCCGCCAACCCAUUCAUGUAUUUUUCAUUCUGAAACAGAAUAAUGUCAAAAUAGGGUUGAGCUUUUCUAAAAAAUUAUUACUUUACCUUUAUUUCUAAAUACAAAUUAAAAUAUUCUCAUUAAAUUAGUUUUUUAAAAAAUAAUUUUAUUUUAUUCUAAUGGAAAAAUUACAAAAGUAUAAUAUUUUUAAUGAAAAUUACAGUAAUCAACUUUACUAAACAAAAACAAAGAUAGGAUAAUGUUAAAGAUAUGCAUGUCAAAUUCAAAGACAAUAAUUUUAUAUAGCUUCACAAAUUAGAGUUGUUUAUAUUAUAGUUGUAUAUUCACUUCAAUUUGGAUAUUAUCAUGUGUAAGUAGUAGGAUAAAUUUUCCACUACAAGCUACCUACCACAAUUACAAAAGCUUAAUAAUUUUCAAUUAUUUAAAAAAGCACAUAGAUUAUAGAAAAUUUGGAAUCUCCUCACAAAUAUUUUCUUGAACAUACCUCUGUCUCUCUAUCUUAAUAUAUUCUCAUAGAUCAUUUGAGUCCAAAUUUUGGAUCUUGCAAUUUAAAAAUUAAUUAUUAUUUUCUUUGUUUUUAAAAAAUUUACUGUUUCAUUUCUUAUAAGUUAUUUAUAUAAUAUCACCAUUAUAUUUCAACAUAAUAAAAACUCGUGGUUCCAUAUUUUCGCCGGAAACCAACUAGCGCAAUGGACCAACUAGGGGUGGGCGUUCGGGUAUCCGGGUUCGGAUCGGAUAUUUCGGUAUAGAGGUGUAGAACGUCAGAGUAUUUCUGUACUUCGGGUCGGGUUCGGAUAUUUUUAGUUUGGGUUCAGUUAUUGCAGAUCGGUUUCCGAUAUUUAGAUUUUGAAAAAAACAAAAUUAAAUUUUCAUUUCUCAAAUUUCUUGUAUUUAAAAAUAUAACUUUCACUUAACUAAUUUUUUAUUUUUAAUAAAUUGAAUGGUUAAUAGAUUUGGACAUAACAAUUUGAAACUAAAAAAACAUUAAUUUGGUAUUGUUUUUAAAUUUUGGAUGUAACUUUUUGUUAAUUUUUGAAAUAAAAAAUUUGACAUGCAUUUUAAGUGAGUAGCAAAACUUUUUCUCCGUAAUUUUAUGUAUGUCAUAUGAAUUUAAAAUAUGUGUAGUAUCAAUAUAAAUAUUUUAUAUAAAAUGAGAGAUGUAAACUAGAUUCAGAUUUCAGUUCGGGUUUCGGUUCAGAUUUUGGUUCGGGUUUUUCGGAUUGGAUUGGGUUCGGAUGUCACUUCAGAUAUUGAAUAAAGUGUCCACCCUUGACCAACACAACAUUGGUGGUUAAAACUCAUAGUUUACCAAAAAAAUAAUCAAAACUCGUUUAGAUGCUUUGUAUUUAGCUAAUUGUUUUAAAACUCAGUUUUUCUAACCACCAUAAACUAUUCAAACUAUUUUAACAACUUUUCUAAAAAAAGACUAUAAAAUUAUUAUUAAUUUUGUUAAAAAAUUUUAAUCUACUAGUUGAUCAAUGAUUCAUAAAAAAAUUUAAAUUUUGAUUUCAAGAUUUAUAGAAAUUAACGGAUUUAAAAAAUUAAAUAAAAAUCAUAUAAAUAGUUUCAUCUAAGUUUAAAAUAUUGAAAAAUCAGUUUAAAAAAAAAAGAAAACAUAAAAGAAAAGAAAAGAUGUAGAGAAACGACGGGUGCCUGCUGGUGUAGGAUAGAAACAGUGUAUGUGGAUGUAGCUUAUAACUACCCAAUCCCGUUGAACAUAUUUCCUCCGACCAGACCAUCCCCAGAAUAAUAAUAAUAAUAAAAUUCAACGGAGGCCGCCUUCCCUUCACCGGAUCACCUUCCUUCCUUUGGAUCUAUCUUCCCAUUCCGACGGUUCUUCGUUUCUCAGGUCUCCUCUUCCUUUCUCAUCUAUUCCCUUUUUAAAUCCUUUUUUAUUUUUUGCUUUAAUCGCUUGUUUCAUGGGCGAUCACUUUUCUCUCUUGCGAUCGGUGAAUUUUGAUUCUUCUGUCUACCCAUAAACCUCGUGUUGACAUGUGUUUCGCGAUCUAACAAUAUAUAUUAUUAGUGUUUACGGAUUGUUUUAGACAUCAAUCAUCGAUCCUCUCGCUGAGGAAAAUUGCAGUUCCUAGUCUUGCGAACUGUUGAUUUGUUCCUAAUUUGGGGGUUACUGAUCCUAGAGGAAUUGGAUUUCAUUAAUCUAUUUGAUUCAUCAUCAUCAUUAUGUGUUGCGUGCAGAGUAUCAAUAAUCAAUCUACCUUGGAACAAUGAGUGAGGUGUUUAACGGAUACGAGCGCCAAUACUGCGACCUCUCGGCCAACCUCUCCAAGAAAUGCUCCUCUGCUAUUGCCCUUGACGGAGGUAAGUAAUUCCAUAUCAUCUCUUGCUCCUCAUCCACUGCCCCUAACUUCCUUCCUCUUUUAUGAGUUACUACAAGCCUUUCUCUGCUUUCCAGGGCCGGCCCUAGGCCAUGCUAGGUGAAACAUUCGCAACAGGCCCCUAAAAUUUUUGAAAAAAAUUACAUACAAAUAAGCCCCAAAACAAAAUUUCAUACAGCAGGGUCAGACCUCCAGAAUCUCAGGUCUGGCCCUGCUGCUUCCCUUUGAAAGCUGAUGAUACCUUUACUGAUUGAAUUGCAGAACAAAAGAAGCAGAAGCUCUCUGAGAUAAGAUCUGGCCUCGAUAAUGCUGAAGCAUUGGUAUGUGUGACUCUGGAAUAUAGCAGUUUUUUCUUUAUUGUCCCUUUUAACAUUUUUUCUUAUUCACCAGAUUAGGAAAAUGGAUGUUGAGGCGAGGAGCCUUCCACCGAGCAUUAGGACCAGCCUCCUUGUUAAACUAAGAGAGUUCAAGUCCGAUCUCAACAACUUCAAAAGCGAAGUCAAGAGGAUCACAUCUGCUAACUUGAAUGCUGCUGCUCGCGACGAGCUGCUUGAAGCUGGUCUGGCUGACACAAAGACGGUAUGUAAAGAGAACUCACUAGUAUCUUUUUUGACAUCUUUUGAUUGAUCUAUGACAUUUGAGGGCAGGCUUCGGCUGAUCAAAGAGCGAGAUUGAUGAUGUCAACCGAUCGAUUGGGUCGAACCACUGACAGAAUCAAGGACAGUCGAAGAAUGAUGAUUGAGACUGAAGAGCUUGGAGUUUCUGUCCUACAAGACUUGCACAGUCAGAGACAGUCUCUCCUUCGCACUGGCGACACGGUAUGUACUCUCUUCUUCAGCACGAUUUUAUCAUGAAGAAGACUACGUUUUAUUUAUAUACUACUUGUGAUUGGUGUCUCUUUUAACCAAAAGUUAGAACUCUGAAACAUGCAGCUUAGUGGAGUAGACGAAAAUGUCGGAAAGAGCAAGAAGAUCUUGACGGGCAUGACCAGGGGGAUGAACAGGAACAAAUGGACCAUUGGAGCCAUUAUCACCGCUCUGGUCGCGGCUAUUAUCCUCAUCUUGUACUUCAAACUCACCAAGUAAUCCCUCUGUAUCUAAACUCUUUGUCGCUGAACAAAUGGUGUGUAUCUUUUAUUUAAUCCUUUUCUGGCUUUCUGUGUGAUAAGUUAUGUCUUUGCCACCUUUUGUAUUAUCACGUUCUCUUGUUUGCGUUUGCGAUUACAUUUGUGUAUUUUAAUACUGAAUGAUGCAAAUUGUUUUGUUUUAUUAUUACUAAACGCAAGCGUAAAUUACAUUUCAAACAAUUAGAGCCUAAGCCUUGAGAUUGAGAACUAGUUGUGUGUUUUUCUUUCAUUCUUGAACCUGUUAUAAUCAGCGAGCAAGCUCUCAAUAACCUUAUGUUUCAUGCUAUCCACCAAACCAGUCAAAAUCUGUAGAAACCAAAUCACAACCAAACAUUAUUUACAAAGCUGAAAUAGUGGAAAAUAUCGUUUUCGAGUUCUCAAACGCAUAUAAGAAACCGUUUCUAACCGCAUUGGCCACGCUUCUCUUAACAUCUUCGGGUACAAACGCAAGAACCGAAGGAAGGACGAAGCUUACGUUCAUCUCUAAUUGACCUUUGAGCCUUGUGUGGCUUCCGCCUCGGUCUGGGUACAAUGCUCCUUGAACUCCCAGAGUGAAAUCAGACUGUUCCAUGACCUGGCCAAGCCCUUGAAGCUCCCAUUUCAUCUGAAGGUAAACCGUUAAAAGGGAACAAAAGAGUGAGAAUCGUCAAGGGUUGUGUCUGUUUCUAUUACCAUGUUAAGCUCAAGAACUCUGGUUAUGUCUAGAGGUACAUCAGGCGGGUAAUCUUGACCGUUGGAUUUGCAUCUAAUUCGCAUGUCCACCACUGGCCUUGCAGUGAGGAAGAGGAAAUUUAUAGGUGACAUAUGAAUUCUCCAUUCUUCCUGCACAAAUAAAAUAUUGUUAGAUACCGAAUGCAUUCCCACUUACAUAAAAAGUAACACAUAUUAGCUACCUCGUUAAGCCUAUAGCUUCUAGGUUUAUCAGGAAACAUUGCUUUGAAAACCCUACACUUAUCCUCCAAAUACUCAUCGAACAACGCCUGAACUUUCCCGAAACGCGUCAAACACAUACACUGUUGUACAGUGAUGCAUAUAUAUAACUCAUUAUAGGAAAUGAGAGUGAGAAUGAGACCUGAGGAGACUCGUGCAAUUGAACAUCGGUAGAGAAUUUAGAUGAAUACUUGGAGGCUUUUACAGUUGACAACUGGCACUUGGCUCCUGGCCGUAAUGUUCUCAUCUCCGCCGCUGUAGACCUGAUUCUUCCCAGCAUUGUCGGACACGACAAAACUGUUGAGCUGACAGCCAUGUUAGUAGUCUCUCUCUAGGUUUUCAAGAUUGGAUGAUGUUUGAUCUUUCCCACAUGUUUGAAAGAUAAGGGGAUAUGUGUCUUUCGGCCUUGUAUGUAGACGUGGUAUAUCGAGGGACUAUCCACCUCAUCAACAUUUUGAAUUCUUGGCCCUCUUUGAUUUACUCCUUUAUUCACGUUUUUCUCACUAUUAAGAAGAAGACAAUCUUGUUGAACAAAUAAUUAAAAAAAAGAAGACAAUCUCUUUCUCUCUAUACUCUUUCAGUCUUUCUUCGGUUCUCUGUUAUGAAAACAGUCUCCUUUCUUUCGGCUAAAUCAGGUCAAUAACAGAAAAUUGUGUGUUUUUUUUACAGUGUUCUAAAAAUUGGUUUAGAUGACACAUUAAAAAAAGUCUAACCAUACAUUUAAUCAACAAUCUUCGUAAAAAGUAUAACUACCGCCUAACGAUUUUUUGCAUUGUUUUUCUCUCAAAAUAUUACAAUUGACAGAUUUAAUAUUCAAAUAUUAUAGUUACUCCAUAACUAAUAGCUCGACGGCAUAAAAUUGACAUGAUAUAGUCAAUAGUUUCGUCUAUUUUUAACAGUUGACUAUUAUAAUCCUAAUUUUUUUAAUUAUAAUCCUAGUUUUAUGGUGUAUAUAUAUACUAGUUGAUACAAGUUGUUUUGUUUAAUAUAAACGUAUACGCCAAACAUGGCGCAUAAAUUACAUUCAAACCAUUAAAGCUUUAGCCUUGAGAUUAAAAACUAAUGAUGUGUUCUUCUUUCAUUCUUAAACCUAUUAUAAUCAUCGAGCAAGCUCUCAAUAACCUUAUGCUUCAUAUUAUCCACCAAACCAUUUAAAACCUGCAGAAAGCAAAUAAAAACAUAAGAUAAUAUAUAAAUUUGGAAUAUAGUGUUUUGAAUUUGCAAAUGCAUUUAUUUCUAACCGCAUUGGCAACGUUUCUCCUAACAUCCUCUGGUACAAGCAUGAGAACCGUAGGAAGCACGAAGCUAACGUUCAUCUCUAGUCGACCUUUGAGCCUUGUGUGCCUUCCGCCUCGGUCUGGGUACAAUGCUCCUUGAACUCCAAGGGUGAAAUCAGAUGGCUCCAUGACCCGGUCAAGCCCUUGAAGCUCCCAUUUCAUCUGAAAAUAAACCGUUCAAAGAGAACAAAAGAGUGAGGUAUUUAGACUUUUUAGUACUUCCUCCAUUCAACGAAGAUAUAAAUCUUGGAUAUUUCACACAAUUUAAAUAUAAAUUUACAAUUCUAAAAUAUUUUUUUAAUACCAUAAUUUAAAAAAAAUCAAUUUAUUUCAACAGUAUUGUCUUAAUCAAUAUGAUCAGUAAAUAAAGGUAAACAAUUAUUCAUAAAACUUUUCUCUUUCUGAAACAAUUAAAAAUGUCAAAACUUGUAUUUUUGUGGAAAGGAGUGAGUACCAUGUUAAGCUCAAGGACUUUGGUUAUGUCUAGAGGUACAUCAGGCGGGUAAUCCUGACCGGUGGAUUUGCAUCGGAUCCGCAUGACCACCACUGGCCACGCAGUGAGGAAGAGAAAUUUUAUUGGCAACAUUUGGAUUCUCCAUUCUUCCUGCACAAGUAAAUCAUGUCGGUCUUUUCGUUAGAGUAACCAAAGAAUGCAACCCAGAGCCGUGCCUGACUAGAGGCUGAUCAAGCACUUGCUUGAGGCCAAAACGUAGAUAAAUAGUUUUAUGGGCCAAUUUCUUGGCAAGAGUUGUCUACAGAACAGUUGGUAAUAGUCUGUAUUAUUACUCUAGGGUCCCGGGUUCAAUCACGAGUAUAGCAGUUUGACCUUUUUUCCAAAAAAUUUAUAGUUUAUGGGGCAAAUUUUUUUUAGUGCUUUAGGACCCACAAUAUUCAGGCAUGGCCCUGAAUUGCAACCCCACACUUAUAAAAAUGGAACAUGGAUGUUACCUCGUUAAGCCUAUAGCUUUUGGGUUUAUCAGGAAACAUUGCUUUGAAAACCCUCGACUUAUCCUCCAAAUACUCAUCGAACAACGCCUGAAGUUUCAAAGCAUUACAACACAAACAGUUUUACACUGAUGCAUACAUAUAUAACAUUAUAGAGAUUGAAAGUGAGAAAGAGAUACCAGAGGAGACUCGUGCAGUUGAACAUCGGUAGUUAUUUUAGAUGAAUAUUUGGAGGGUUUUACGGGUGACAACUGACACUUAACUCCCCACCGUAUUGUUCUCAUCUCCACCGCCACCGACCGGCGUCUUCCGAACAUCUUCGGGCAUGACAAAACCAUUGAGCUUACAGCCAUUUUACCAGUCUUUCUCUCUCUUUUUUGGUCUUCAAGAUUGGAUGAUAUUUGAUCUUUCCCACUUUUCUCUCUCUCUAUAUUUAUAUAUAUCUUCAGAGGAAAGAUUGCGUCUUUGCUUCUCUUUAAUACGUUUAGAGACCUUUGUUAAAGAAAAUAGAGACAGAGAGUAACAUUCUCACGGUACGCAUUUGGAAGAUAGUGGAUUUCGAGAAAUAAUUGUUGAAACAUUGCUUUUCAACCUCUAUAGUAACCGGGUACAUAUUCGGUUUGGUUUAAUUGUUUCAGGUUUUGUAAGAAAUAUAAGUCCACUUCAUUUAAUUUAGUUUAGUUUGGUUUGGUUUAGUUAAGAGGUUACCCAUUUAUUUUGCCAUCUACGUGGUGAUAAUGUAAAGCCUCGUCUGUCACGCAGUUGUUGAUGAGAGUGACACGAGAACAUUGAACGUUGAGAAUAAUCUGUAGAAUAACUUCUAUCACACGCAGAGGUUUUGAAAAAAAAAAGAAAAAGAAUUCAUUGCUUUCGAAACCGACAAACUCUCGGACCGAAUACUAAGAAACCGGUUUACUUUGGCGCCUAGGAAUAUGGGUUACUAACUUUGACUUUUAAUGUAAGCAAUAAGCAAAGAUCUCUUGUUGUUUGCAACUCUUUCAACUCUAUAAUCUUUGUUUUUCAGACUGGCUAAGUAAAUUAAAACAUUAAAAUCUUAUAUAGUAUGUUACGAUGACUGUUCAUAAACGAUUUGUUCAUGUUGGAUUGAGAAACUAUACAUGGUUGAGCAUUGACAUUAAAAUUCGGCUUUAGUAGAUAACUUGUGUAAUCUUCUCUCGUUCUUGAACCUGCUAUAAUCAGCGAGCAAGCUCCCAUUAACCUUAUGCUUCAUAUUCUCCACUAAACCUGUCAAAACCUGUAAAUGGGUCCAAAUCAGAUCAUGUGUAAAUCAUAAGAGAUAGUCAAAUAAGGUUUUACAUACCGCACUGGCCAAGUUUCUCCUAACGUCUUCAGGUACCAAUUCAAGAACCGGGGGAAGAACAAAGCUUAUGUUCAUCUCUAGCUGACCUCUGAGCCUUGUGUGCUUUCCUCUCCGGUCUGGGUACAAUGCUCCUUUGACUCCCAAACUGAAGUCAGACGGUUGCAUCACUCGGUCAAGCCCUUUAAGUUGCCAUCUCGUCUGAAAAGAAGCAUUUAAGAGUUUGAGUAAUGGAAGAUGAAGAAACGAAGAGAGAGAAAAGUUAUUACCAUGUUGAGCUCAACAACUUUGGUUAUGUCUAAAGGUACGUCUGCCGGGUAAUCCUGACCGUUGGAUUUGCAACUUAAACGCAUAUCGACCACAGGCCACACAGUGAGGAAGAGGAAAUUAAUUGGUAACAUCUGAAUCCUCCACUCUUCCUGCAAAAAUUCAAUUUAUCCAAGUAGACUUAAAAUAGUGAAAAAGGGGGCGUUCCGAGAAUUGAACUCGGGACCUCUCGCACCCUAAGCGAGAAUCAUACCACUAGACCAAACGCCCGUUUUGAACGUGUUUUAUAUAUAACUAAUGUUAGUCAUAUUAGUUGACGUACCUCGUUAAGCUUAUGGCUUCUGGGUUUGUCAGGGAACAUGGCUUCGAAAACUCUCGAUUUAUCCUCUAAAUAGUCAUCAAACAACGCCUAAAAGUUCCUCAAAAUCACAUUUAAGAAACGCACCAAAACAGUUUAAACUGAAUCGUGUUAUAGAGGGAGAGAGAGAAGGAGACCUGAGGAGACUCGUGGAGAGGAAUAUCUGUGGAGAGUCUUGACGAAUACGUGGCAGGUUUUAUGGAUGAUACCUGACACCUAACUCUCCACCGUGUAAUUGGUCUCAUCUCCGUCUUCACCGGUCGGUAAGUUCCGAACAUGGGCGAUGACAAAACCGCCAUUUCACCGAUUAUCUUUUCAAUAUCAGAACUUUUAUAUAUUCCACAUUUCUCUUUUGAUUUCUCUCUGAAAGUUAAAAACUUUUGAAAGAACUUUUAGAUUUCUCUAGAGGAGUGAAGUUGCUUUUUGCUAGAGAUUUUGGAGGGAUAAGGGGAUAUCUGUCUUUCGGCCUUCUAUGUCGACGUGGCAUAUUUUGAGACUAGCCACAUCAUCAACAUUUGGAAUUCGUAGGGCCCUUCUUUUCUUUGUACUCCUUUCGGACUUUUCCUUUCCGUUAGUGGAUGAGAAUGACACGAGACGAAACUAAAAAAAAAAAAAACUCAAAUGUAUUAUCUGACGACAAAGGAAGGUUCGACAAACUAAACUCAAUCCUUAUUUUACAUUAGUUCCACUGUACAUGUUCUGUCAUAUUAAAAGAUCAAGAAUAUUCAAAUCCUACGAGCAACGCAUUAUAUUGUCGGAUGAAUUUCCUUGAAAGUGUAUGGUUUGAAAUUUCAGGACUGUAGAGGGCACACAGAUGAUCCUCCUAAAGAAUGUAGAUAUCAAACCUUAAGUUCUGUGAUUUGUUCUUCGAUUUCUUGCUUAUAAAAGCAAACUAAAAUGAAAUGUGGAACGUAAAUGCCACAAUUGAUUCACGGCUUCGUUGAGCUCACUUCACUCUCUUUGUUAAAACUCAAAUACAUCUCGAUCUUCUUAGUUCCAACAACCAAAGAGGAUACAAAAGACAAUCUUUCACGGUUUAUUUCUAACAUUAGUAAGAAAAGGACUCGUCUCUUUCUCUCUUAAUUCCUUCACGGUUAAAACCUCAAGUCAAACCGUCAACACACUUAUGGGCCUUAUCCAUUUCCUAACUGGGCCUUAAUUUUAAUUUUAAUUUCUAGUCCAAUCGGUAAUCGCUUCGAUCUGUCGGUAGACAGAAUAGAAUAAUGGUUUCGCCGGUUAAACCAGUCGGCAAUCGGUACGAUCAGAUUGCAUAAAAGCAAAUCAUAAUAAGUCACGUGGCACAGUUUACACGGUUCGUAGACUCGUAGUGGUCGCCAUGUAAACAGCGGGAAAACAGGGCCCCACACAUAUUAACUAAGGAGUAGGACCAACAAAAUCAUCACCACGAAACGCAGCGUUUCCCCUUCGUCUCCGCGUUUAAAAUCUUCUUUCACCCUUUCGUCAUUUCGUCAGAUCCAAGAGAGAGAGAGAGAAAUCAGAAAAAGAUCUUGAAACGAUGCCGUACUACACCAGAGACGAGGAUGAAGUCGACGAUUUCGACGAGUUCGAUCCGACGCCGUACAGUGGAGGCUACGACAUCACCGUGAUCUACGGCCGUCCGAUCCCUCCUUGCGACGACACUUGCUACCCUCUCUCCUCCGCAGCGGAUGAAGAUUUCGAGUACGAGAGACCUGAAUUCACCUCGUACCACGAUCCUUCCGCCUACGCCGAAGAAGCUCUCAACCCCGAGUACAGCAGCUACUCCCGCCCCAAGCCCCGUCCCGGUUUUCGACCCGGUUCUGCCGGAGGCGGUCACGUCCAAGGUGAGCGACCCGAUCAGAGUUACGGAUCCGGUUACGGUGGUCAGACGGAGGCUGAGUACGGUAGGAGACCUGAAUCGGGGUACGGCGGAGCCACGGAGACGGAGUAUGGCCGGAGACCUGAGCAGAGUUACGGAUCUGGUGGAUACGGUGGCAGAUCGGAGGUUGAGUCUGGUGGCUAUGGUGGUAGAUCAGAGGUUGAAUCUGGUGGAUACGGUGGAAGAUCGGAGUCUGGUGGCUAUGGUGGAAGAACGGAGGUUGAGUAUGGCCGGAGACCUGAAUCUGGAUAUGGUGGGAGAUCGGAGACGGAGACCGGGUACGGAUCCGGGUAUGAGAAGAAACCGAGCUUCGGUGAAGAGAGGAGCGAGUAUGAGCGCAAGCCUAGCUAUGGAAGGUCUGAGGAUCAAGAGGAAGGAGGUUACAGGAAGCCUAGCUAUGGGAGAUCUGAGGAUCAGGUUGAGAGCUACAUAAAGCCCAGCAGCUACGGGAGGUCUGAGGAAGAGGAAGAAGGAGGCUAUAGGAAGCCUAGCUAUGGAAGGUCUGAGGAACAGGAGGAAGGGAGUUACAGGAAGCCUAGCUAUGGCCGUCGUAAUGAUGAUGAUGAUGAUGAGGAGCGCAGGAACCGUUCCGGUGAUGAUGAGGAAGGGAGCUAUGGCCGCAAGAAAUAUGUAAGUUCAAUAAGUUAAUUAUAUAAAGUUAUAGUCAAUUUGCAUCUAGAUUAUUGUGUGGAAAUUAAGUUUAUUGAUUGUUUAAACAUAAAACCCUUUUGUUGAUGGACUGAUCUCAACAUUGAAACUAAAGAUUAUAGUUUUGGUGAUAACAUCCAUUACCCCCUUUAACUUCAUUCGUUCAGUAUUUGAUUUAACAUUGACAUCUUGUAGGUUAUAACAAUCAUAGUACAGAACUUGCAUUGUGUUUUUUGCGUCUCGUUUGUUUUGAAAAUAAGUUUUAGUUUGGUUUUGAUCACAGUGUAGCGGUGUAACUCUGUUUUCACAUCCUGAAAUGGAGUUCCUUAAUUUGAAAGCUAUGUUCUACAAUCCCAUAAUAACGUUCCUGGUUCAAUGUUUGUUUGAAUAUAGACAUCUUGAAUAUGUCCCAUUGUUGAUCUUAGUGUAGAGUAGUCUCCAUGUUGAACUAAAGUGUUUGUCUUUCAUACCCUGUAACUCUGUUUUCACAUCCUGUAAUGGAUUAGCCUCGGUUGAAAGCUAAGUUCUUUGAUUGAAAUUGCACAUCAUGUAUAUGACAUUUGAAGAUCAUAGUUACAGAGUAUCUAUCUCCAUUGUUAUGGUGACCGUUAAUAGAGGCAUCACUGACUAAAGCUUUCGCUUAACGUUAUUCAUCUCUGCAUCAAAUUCUGUAGGGUGGCAAUGACUCUGAUGAUGAUGAGGAGAAGAAGCAGCAGCGUUACAAGCAUCACCACCACCAGAGGCGUCGUGAUGAAGACGAUGACUAAAGCCCUCACUCAGUGCUGGAAUCGAGUGCUUCUACUUAGCUUCAUAUUACUAAAUAAAAAGCUAAGGCAUAUUUAUCUUUGGAUGUUGUUGUUGUGUUUGUUUGAUUCUCUCUAGAUACAGCAGAGUCUGUGUCUGGGUUUGUUUCUGGUUCAUUAUAAGACCUUGAAUUGAUAUCGGGUCAUCAUCAUGAUGUUAAACUGUUGCUACUCUGUGUUUCGUUUUUAUUUAUGGAACUUUUCUCUUUUAUGGCUUCUGUUGUUUUGGUUUUGUCGAUAUUAAUAUUAAAAAUCAAAAGUCAUUGCCGAGAAGGAAAAAUAUUUUGUGGUAAAAGCUAGAUUCGAUUUUUUAUACUGAAUAUUUUAUGAUUAAAAACAGAAAAAAGAAAAUCGGUUUUGUAAUAGGAAUGGGUUAAUCAGAUACCUAUAUGUACAUUACACAUCUUUUUGCUUCAACAUCAGAAACUUACAACCAAACAAUUCUAAAAGAAGCAAUGUCAAGCGCUACAGUCCUCGAUGAAUCUAGCGUUCCUAGCCCCAGGAGUACAUGGAGGUGAGAUUCCACUAAAUAUAUUGUUAUGUAACAUAAGAUUUUUGAUUAUAAACAUUAUUAUACUGAAACGAAUUUUCUGGUUGGUUGCAGGAUGGACGGGCAGUUACGAUACGACAUUGCGAUGAACACCAUCAUUAUAAUCCUCAUCACUGAUGCGGUCUUACAUAUGACUCUGAGAGCCCACAAGAUUCCCCUUGCUGAUAACGUUGAGGGACUUUUAUGUACAUUUGUAGUUGCGUACGUGUUUGUCAUCACGACUAAUUGCGGGUAUUGGCUUACAGCAAGCGAGGAAGAAGGGUGUUUACUUGGAAUUUACAUCACGGGACGCCUUGGUCACACGUUAGGCUUUUGUAUUUUCCUCUGUCUCCUCUAUUCUAGUUCUCACUUGGCUAUGUACGUUGCUCUACCUUGUUUACUAUGUUUGGUGCCAGCCAUGUUUGCACCGUGUUGUCCAUGUCUGUGGAGAGGAGAGUCAACUUGGUGGAAUUUUGUGAAGCAACCACAACCAACAGUAGAUAUUGUUUAACUUUUGGACUAUUAUUAUUAAUAGAAUUUUUUAAUUCCUAAUUUUGUAAACAUCUCGUCAAUUGUUUGUUCUUAACUUUUCUCUCUUGCGAUCGGUGAAUUUUGUUUCCACUGUCUACCCAUAAACCUCGUGUUGACAUGUGUUUUGCGAUCUAACAAGAUAUUAUUAUGGUUUAGGGAUUGUUUUAGACAUCAAUCCUCUUUUGAUAUGGCUGAAGAAAAUUAAGAGUUCCUAGUCUUGAUUUGUUCCUGCUUAAUGUAAUUUGGGGAAAGUGAUCAUUUAUCUUUUGGUACAUUAUCAUUGUGUGUUGCAUGCAAAGUAUCAAUCUACUUGGAACUUAACAUUGCGUUAUUUGCAUCUAGCUUGUUUGGAAAAUAAGUUUUAAUUUGGUUUAAUCCCGUUGUUGAUCACAGUGUAGUGUGAUCUCAAUGUUGAACUAAAGAUAUCUUUAGUUUGUUCUUUAGAUUCUUUAUGAGUUACUACAAGCCUUUGUCUGCUUCCCUUUGGUUACAGGCUUGUCAUUACUAGUUGUAGAUCAUCAUUGAUUUUGCAGAACAAAAGAUGCAGAAGCUGUCCCAAAUAAGGACACAAGGACAUAAGUUUGUGCUUUAGAUCCUUUAUGAGUUUAUCUUCAGUUUUUGCGUUUUAGAUCCUUUAUGAGUUAUUACAAACCUCUCGACUCUUGUAAGGACAUAAGAUCUGUGCAUUAUCUGGUUACUGGCUGUACAAAGAGCUUGUCAAUUACUAGGUGUAGAUCAUCAUUGUUUCUGUUUGUUAAGAUGCAUUGAUGACACCUUACUCAUUGAUUCCCGAAACAAAAGAAGCAUAAGCUCUCUGAAAUAAGGCGUGGCCGCAAAAAUGCUAAAGUGUUGGUAUGUAGUCUAAGGCAUAGAUCGAAUAAAGCAGCGUUUUCCUUAUUGUCCCUUUGCUUUGUACAUUUUCUUAUUCACCAGAUUAGAAAAAUGGAUCUUGAAGCCAGGAGCCUUCCACCAAGCAUUAAUUCCAGCCUCCUUGUCAAACUAAGAGAGUUUUCAAGUCUGAUCUCAACAACUUCAAAAGCGAAGUCAAGAGAUCGAUGAGGUCAGCUGAUCGAUUGGGUCGAACCACAGACAGAAUCAAGAGACUGAAGAGCUUGGCGUCUCAGUCCUCCAAGACUUGCACAGUCAGAGACAGUCUUCCUCUCCUACGCACUAACGACACGGUAUGUGCUCUCUUCAACAAUUUUCUCUUACACGGGUUUUAUCAUGAAGAAGAAUACUACGUGUGAUUGGCAUCUCUUUUAACCAAUAGCUCGUUCUCUGAUACAUACAGCUUAGUGGAGUAGACGACAAUGUAGGAAAGAGCAAGAAGACCUUGACAGGCAUGACUAGGAGGAUGAACGGGAACAAAUGGACCAUUGGAGCCAUUAUCACCGCUUUGGUCGCCGCCAUUAUCCUCAUCUUCUACUUCAAACUCACCAAGUAAGCCUCUGUAUCUAAACUCUUUGUCGCUGAACAAAUGGUGUGCUGUAAGUAGUAACAGCUGAUGACGAGGAAGAAGAUAGAAGGAAGCUAAGACUCUGAGGGACAAAGAGGCUUCUGCAGUUACAGUGAAGCUACUGUAUAAAUAAUAUUAUAGAGGGAGUGAAAGAGAGACUUUAUCGAUGUAUUAGCUCAUGCCUCAUAGUUCCAGUUGAUACUCUAUAUUGUGAGAGAGAGUGAUACAGUUGUAUUGUGUGUGUUAUGGAUCAAUAGAGAUUUGGUUCAUGACAUCUGGCUUUUAUCUGUGUGAUAAGUUAUGUCUUUGCCACCUUUUGUAUUAUCACGUUCUCUUGUUUGUGUUUGCGUUUACAGUUGUGUAUUUUUAUACUAAAUGAUGCAGAUUGUUUUGUUUAUUAUUAAAAGCAAGCUUAAAUUACAUUUUAGACAAUUAGAACUUAAGCCUUGAGAAUAAGAACUAGUUGUGUGUUUUUCUUUCAUUCUUGAACCUGUUAUAAUCAGCGAGCAAGCUAUCAAUAACCUUACGCUUCAUGCUAUCCACCAAACCAGUCAAAAUCUGUAUAAACCUGGAAUAUAGCUGGUUCAUAAUAAGACCUUGAACUGAUAUUGGGUCAUCAUCAUGUAAACAGCUGCGACUCUGUGUUUUGUUUUUGUGCUAUGAAAAUUUCUUAUUUUAAAGCAUAACUUCUAUUGUUUUUCUUUUGUCCAUAAGAAAAUUUAUUUUGUCGUUAAAACCAAUGUGACCACACAAAACCACUUAUCUAAUCUAAUCUAGAAACAAUAUGAAACAAGCUUCCUGCCAAAGACAUACACCACAGUUACAACCACCUUUGAAAUCGACAUUCCAAGUAUAAACCAUCUUGGCCACAUGCUGUGAACAGUGGUUGAUCCUUCAGCUUCCUUACGCAGCUGUGAAGGUUCCAAAGAAGAGUGCGAUGACAAGCCACAGUAAGAACCAUCUAGUAUUGAGUUUUCUCCUCAGUGUCUCCGCUUUGUUGGCUUGUGGAGUUGUGCCAAGUUGAAGUACGUCGCCACGAAACCAAUGUUGUUGAGCAGGAGAUAGACAGUGUAACAUCGCGUGUCUCUGAAACGUAUGUAGCCAUUUGAAUCGAGUCCACUAGGUGGACUUGAGAAGGAAGCCACCGUGGUUAGGCCACCGAUGGCCAACACGAACUUGGUAAGUUCUUCUCGCUCUUUGUAAAGAGCCUCCAAAGGAUCCUGAAAUAAAUAAAGCGUAUGUAGCCAUGUGAUGUGGACUUGAGAAGGAAGCCAAUGUGGUUAGGCCACCGAUGGCCAACACAAACUUGGUAAGUUAUUCUCGCUCUUUAUUAAGAGCCUCCAAAGGAUCCUACAAUAAAGUGUACAAAUUUUGUAACUCAAAUCUUUUCCUCAUUCUCAGACAUCUCUCGUAGAAGACAUACUAACCGGUUUGCCUGAGAAAUAUAAAACUAAAUGUUUAAAGUACAUGCUUCUUAUAAAAUCAAUCUACAACUAUUCAAUAAAACUUGAUUUGCUUUUAUUAAACCCAUUAAAAGCAUUUACACACUCAAUCACACAACUAUACUUAAAUGCCACGACUUUCUCUUGUUCUAAAUAACUUUACGUCUUUACAUGUGUCUCAUUUGUAGACUUUCGUUACUACAUGUAACAUUUUUUCCAUGACUUUCAUGACCCGAAAUGAAGCUUUAAAAGUUCGUGAAACUAGUUUUCAAUAUAACAGUUCAUCAACUUAUCAACACAUUUACCUUAAUAUUCUAUGUUCCAAUAAAAUAAACAAACUUACUGCGAUUAUCGACGAAAUGGAGCUGAGGUUGAGGAAAGUCCUUGAUUUCCUAUCUUCAACAAAAAUAAAAAAGUAAAGAAAUGUUUUGCUAUUACAACAGCUUAUGUAGUGAUUCAGAUAAAACAAAAAAAUAAACACAACCUUCUGAUUGAUGCCACAUGAAAAAUGAUCAAUGUCUCUAAGCUUCUCAUCCUAAACGCCUUCCCCAUACAAUUUACAAAAUUUCUUCUCCUCUACAACUUUUGUCGUUAUGCGAAGAUGGUGACCCUCUGUUCAUUAAAUCGAUUGGGCUUUUUUUUCUUUCUUUUUUAGUAUCAUGUGCUUAAAGAUCCUAUUAUAAUAUUCUAAGUACGUUUUUCAUAGACGAGACAUCCCAAAUUUUUAUCUUUACUUUUCCUACACCAAUUCAUAGCUAUUUAUAUUUUGACGCAAACUAUAUAAAAUCGGAUCAGUUUACUCAAAACCCAGUACGUGGCUAAUCGUAAAAGAUACAUAGAAGUAUUCAACAAAUCAUUUCAUAUCAUUCAUUCAUUCACCCACAAAGAGCUCUCAAAUUGGUUUCGCAACUACAAAACAUCGAAUCCGUUCUUGGAUUAGGGUUUUGAGAUUGAGUCUCAUCAAUUUUUUUUGUUUCUUAUUGUAGAAAACUUUCACUUUGAGCUACAAGACAACUACUAGUGAAGGAGACCAGACAGUUCCAGAUCCGUUUCCAAAGUUGUUGGAUAAUUUAGGACCAUCUUUAGUACAUUUGUUCUUCGUCCCUGAGAAAAGAGGAGGAUCGAGUUAGGUUAAAUUUGCUACAGGUUAUGUCAAAUUGUGCGGGAGAAUGUCGGUAGUAAAAUGAACUUACUUAUGCACCUUAGUGUUUGUUAUCACACCUGAGUGUGUUGAGAUUCACAAUCUGAUUUUGAUGGAAGAAAGCGGGAAGAAACUAGUUAGCUACUUUCUUGAGAAUUCAUUUGUUCUCAAGAAACUCAUCCCGCGUUUUAGGGAUUCUUUAAUAUAUCUUACUCAGAUUUCUUCAAGGAGCUUCUUAAAUUCAGAAAGCGGUCUUGCAGUUGUCCGAUUAUUUUUCUUUGAGAAAUUGGCGAUUAGAGUUCAUUAUUUAUUUUGAUUUUGAGUAUCAUUGUGUAUGAAUUUCGUAUGGAUUGUAGAUUUUAUUAAAACCUGUUCCAUAAAGAUUUAUUUUUUGAUGGAAAAAGAGUAAACGACUUUAUAAGAUUUUGUUGCAGUUAAAAAUUAAAAGAUAAACAAAUAUAUAUUAUGUAUUUAUUUAUGAAAUAAGAAAAUUAAUUAAUACUUGAUUUGACAUUGUUAUCUUUAAGAAAUUUUAUACCUUCCAACAUGUUAAUAAAAUUGAUUACAUUAAAUAUAUCAACCGUGGCAGUUACAGCCCCCGAUUAAAGCAUUUGAUCUAGUCAGUAGAUUUCUUGGAAAUCAAGUUUCGAUUCCAUUUCAUUUGUGCAUGUUAAACGCCCUAGUAAUAGUUGUGCUGACUUCAAACAGAUCGGAGGCUUACUGAAUUUGAAUUUGGUCGACUUUGAGAAGGUGAACAAAAUUCGAUUGUGAGUUAUUUCAAAAACGUUUUUAUUGAUAAGAUGAAAAAGAGGUUACAGUGUUUGGACAUGUAAAGUAUAAAACACAAAUAUAAGUUGUUGUUUUUAACACUAGAUAAAUUACCAAUUACUAAUGAACAACUAUACAGAUAAUAAAGAGCCUACAAUACUUUGAAAUGUUCGAAGAGCUUUGCAUAUAAUAAUCUGUAAUAAACAAAACAUAAGUGUAAAAAUCUUUAAACAAUAACCAUUAAACUAUAGUGCUUAUACGAGUCGUAUUUGUUGAAAACAAAACAAGUAUGAGUCGUAUGACCUGAACAAAACAAAAUCGAAUAACAAACCGGAUCUAAUUGACCACUAACCGGAACCGGUUCAAUCGGGAAUUGACUCAAAUCCCAUUAAGCGGCGCAUCGCGAGAAAAAGAGCCAGCAACUGUUCAAAAUAUCUCAAUAGAUAGAUCAAAAAGCAAUCAUGGACACCAUCAUUCAUUAACAAAUAUCCUCUGAAACCUCCGUUUGAAUUAUUUCUAUCUUCUCACAUCGCAUCAUGGGUGCUUCAUCCUCUACAGAUAAUAAAGAAUCAUCGGAGAAGCGAGAAAUCGAAAGCCUCGCUGCUUCCACCGGUGCUCUUCCUCUGCUUCAACGAUUUUUCUCCAAGCUCGCCGAUCCUCAGACCAACACUGUUUCCUUCCAAUCAUUCAAGGUAAUAACGAUUAGGGUUCUGAUUGUUCUUAAAGAGAAUCUGGAUUUGCAGUUACAGUAGUUUUGGGAUUUGAUCGGAUCGUGAAUUAGUGUUUUGACACUGAGUUUGAUCGGAUCAUGAAUUAGGGUUUUGAGACGUUUCAUCAAUUUUUUUUUGUUUUGUUUCUUAUUGUAGAAAAGCUUCACCUUGAGCUACAAGACAACUACUUGUGAAGGAGACCAGAAAGUUCCAGAUUCGUUUCCGAGGUUGUUGGAGCAUUUAGGACCAUCUUUAGUAGAUUUGUUCUUCGUCCCUGAGAAAGGAGGAGGGUUGAGUUGGGUCGAGUUUGCUAGAGGUUAUGUCAAAUGCUGCGGAAGAAUGUCUGCCUCCAUGUCUUACAACACUCUGUUGAGAGUGUUUCAUCUGACAUCUCAAAACGCAGGCUUUUCCUCGAAGCUGGAGUUCGAAUCUGACGAAGCUGAUUGUAAGAUCAACGGGUCGGUUUCCACCGUAGAGUUGGUUAUGUUUCUGUGGAUGUGUUGGACGAUGUCGUGGGAUGGUCGAAGCAGUAGAUCCAGCGACUUGUUUCUUCCUGAUAUAAGCCACUUGGUUAUGUCAGCGCUUGUGUCUUGCACCGAGUCUGGAGCUAGUUUGGAUGUUUGGGAUUCUGAUGUUUUCGGAUUGGAGCUCGAGCUUCCUGUCGGGAAAUUCCUGACGUGGGCAUUGACGACGAUUCCAAGCCUCACUGAGUGUCUAUCUCACUUCUGCAACGCGAGGCUUCAGCAUUGUUUAAAUGCAGAGGUACUCUUUCUUUACCUGUUGCUUUUCAUUUAACCGUAUGGUGUUCACUAAAAGUGGAUUACAGGAUGGAUCUGGGCCUUCAAAGUCAGCUGGUGGAGAUGAUUCUGCGUCCAAGACAUGUGAUAACACUCUUCUAACAUGUGGAAGGGCAUGGGCGAUUUCUUUGACGUCCAAGAAUACCUUAAGUGAGGAGAUCUUGAGCUCAUGCUUUCCCUGCAAUGGCGAUGAACCCAAUGAAAAUCUUCUUUACCGGUAUCCCACUGUCCUACUUCUGUGAAGGUUCUGUCUCUAUAGUGUAACUUAACGUGUUCAAUGUUCAUCUGUCUUUCAGCUCAUACCAUCAUGGGAAAGGCAUGAAUCGAUUGUGGGACAACGUUCAAGGGUAUCAUGCUCCUAUACUAUUGCUAGUUUCUGCAAGCGGUGGAGUUGAGCAGGAGGGUAGUUCAAGCGAGAGGAAGUGGGUCAUUGGUGCUAUCUUGCAGCAAGGUUUUCAGAACAGAGAUACAUUUUACGGAAGCUCUGGGAACUUGUUCUCCAUUAGUCCUGUCUUUCACGCAUUCUCAUCUUCAGGUACUGCACACAUCAGAGAAUUUUCGUAGGCGUAGUCAGUUGUUUUGCAUUAGUGUAGUCUUAUAUGGUUUUGUGUUCAACUUCAGGGAAAGAGAAAAACUUUGCAUAUAGCCAUCUUCAUCCCUCUGGUAGAGUCUAUGACGCAAACCCAAAGCCUGUUGGAAUUGGUUUCGGGGGAACACAAGGAAACGAGAGAAUCUUCAUCGACGAAGACUUUGCUAAGAUCACAAUCCGUCAUCAUGCAGUUGAUAAAACUUACCAGCCUGGCUCUCUCUUCCCAAACCAGGUAACGCAAGUGCUGGUCUAUAUAUAUGAUUCAAGUUUUGUGGUCUUGGAUAUUUAUAACAUCUGUUGUUGCAGGGUUAUUUACCAGUAGAGGCUUUGGUGUCAGAUGUUGAAGCAUGGGCAUUAGGUGGAAAAGCAGCUAAGGAAGUUCAAGAAGCAUACAAGAAAAGAGAAGAGCUUUUCACUGACCAACGUCGAAAGGUAAGAAAAGAUCAAUAAGAUCUAUUUAUGCAAAUGCACAAAAGGACUUGCAAGUUUGACAAGUUGUUAUAUGUAUCUACAGAUUGAUUUGAAGACGUUUACGAAUUGGGAAGAUUCACCUGAGAAAAUGAUGAUGGAUAUGAUGGGGAAUCCUAAUGCUCCGGCUAGAGAAGAGAGGUAAUGAGUGAGGGGAGCAAGACUUGUUUGGUAUAUUUAUGCACAUACGUUUUCUCAAUAGAGGUUUCGUCUGUAAAGUAUAUAUUUGAAGAAACUCAUUUGCUGUUUGCGUAAGUUAUGUUUACUAUUAUCGUUGCCAAAACUCGAACCAGAGUGUUGAGUUUGAGAUUUACCCAAUAAAAAAGAGUUUUAUUUGAAGAGUUUUAUAGACGUUACAAUGAAUCAACAAGUAGAUAAUUGUGGUUUUAAGUUUCAACUAAGCAACUCUUUUCGUGUGAAAUGGUUUCCAGAGCUCUCUGCUUUCUGCUGAGAAUCAUCUCCAUCACUUUAUUCAUAGACUUGAUCUCCUCCUCUGCCUUCUUUAUCUUUCUUUCCUCCGACUCUUAUCUUCUUUCUUCUUUCUUCUUACCAAAACCAUUUUACUCUUUUCUUCAUCUCUUGCCUCACAGAUCCUACAACAAAGAAGGCCAUACCAAAACUUGGUUUUCUCUAAACCGAAUCAAUUUUAGUUAUAGUUCGGUUCAUCCUAACCCAAAAAAAAAACUAAAUGGCUUAAAAAUCGGUUAGACCUGAAUCUGGUUGCGUAAGCCUUUGGUAGAAGGUGAUGAACUUCAUAGAGAAGCUGUACAAGGGGGAUUAAAAUACUUGGUUUCUCUCCCAUUCAAGUUCCCUUACCUUUCUCUCACAUUCUUCUCUAUCCAUUCUCUAUCCAUUGUUCCUGUGUUAUUGUUAUUUUCUGGCCAUCUCAACCACCUAUGUAACUUCCCCAUCUGUUCUAGAGAAAUAGACCGAUGUAACUUCCCCAUCUGUUGAGUGGUACGGUAUUGUGCUCAAAGUCCCCUUGAAUACUAAAUUGGAAAUGUUGCUGUUGCUACGGUUUUGACGAUAGAAUAUAACUCAUAUGACAGGUUGGAAACUGAAUUAUUUUCUUUCAAACCAUGUCUUCAAAUCGAUCACAUUAGUUUUGGUUUUGCUUUUUGUUUCAAUGUUAAAUCAAUGUCCAUAAAAUUGGUUUUGUUCUUUUAUACUCUCACUAAAAAUAGCAGCAUUCUUAUUAAUAGAUGUAUACAUUGUGACAAAACUCAAUUCUAGUUAAUACAUCCUCUAUUUUUGAUGAAAAAUAUAAGUUAGAGAUGCUCUUACACAUUGAAUCCACAAGCUAAUGACCAACAAACUAGUUUAUUCAAAGUGCAUAAUUUACUAGCAAAACCUCCAUUAAAAACAGUGCUUGACAAACAUGAAUUCUCUCUUUCAAGCUCAAGAACAACGCUUAAACAAUAUAUGUAUCAGGUAGGAUUCAAAAGCUCUAAUCCGAAACAUGAAACAGAGUAUCACAAGGACAUGCAUAGGUAUUCAAAGCCUUAUCUGCUAUACUUCCUUUUAUCUGCUUUAAGUUUAUCCCUAAAAUCACACCAGUAUGUUGGCUCAUCUUGCAAAACAAGCCUCACCAGCUUCUUAUUGAGAAAAUGAAGACAUGAAUUAAACUUCAUGGUUUCUGAUCAAAAGUUGACAUCAAGAAAGAAACAAUACAAAUCUAUAUGUCCCAACCUGAAACCCAAAGCUUGAGACACAUAUCAAGAGUUAUACAUACCCAAAACUGAACAAGAGUAAACCCAAAUCAAGCGAGCAAGCAUAUCAUUGCUUCUUGUCUUCUGCUUUCCUCGGCUGCAAAAAAACAACAAACCAAACCAACACACACAAAGAUCAGUUCUCUCUUCCUCUCACAAUGAUAAAAUGUGUGAAAAGACAAACGGACCUUAACACCAGGAGCUUCUUGGUGAAUCUCUUCCUCAGGGAUGAUGACAGGCCACUGCUCCCCGGCUUCACGGAACAUCUGCUCCGUCUCGAGAUACUGCCCUUUAUCAAGAAUCAUCUUCCUGAUCGACUGAGCCGACGUGGCAGCCGCAUCGAAAGCUUCCUCGACACCAUUGACGAAAGUGACACUGAUCUGCGGUGGCUGAUCGUCGGUUCUGCGUUUCACCAGAACCUGACAGUUAGGGUUGGACUCUUUGGCCUUCCUCGCGUUGCACUGAGCCAAGAACUCGACGCAGGAGGCGAGUCUUGGGUCCAAUGUGUUGAACUCGAUCUUUACUUUUGAUAGGAACUUCAACAUCCUCUUCUCAAACCUAAAACAGUCAUUGAUAACAAAUCGUGAAGCGAGAUCUGAAGAUGAUUUCUACCAAAAUCUGAUAACCCAAUGAAAUUAAUAAGUAUACGAAAUUAAAUUGUGGGUUGAGAAGGAGAUCUCUGACUUACACAGGUCGACGGGGGCUCUCCGGCGAGAAUUGAUUUUAAGGGGAAAAUGCAGAAGAAACCGAUGCAGGUGGAAGGAAGACUGAAGAAAAGGGUUUUGGGCUUUCGACUGUGUAAAAGGACGAUAGUACCCUUAAUAUUUAUUCCCCUUUGCUUCGGUUUGGUUCGUUUUUCUGAUAGAGCCGCAGAGAAUUUUUGCAAUAAGGAUAGAUAACUAUUUUGAUUUUCUUGUAAUUGCAUUAACUUGAACUGAAGUACAAUGUUACAACGCUUAGGAAUCUAAAACAAAGCCCGAGAGAAAUAUGGGAGACACACUGCCGGCAAAGACACACCUUUCCAGAACCAUGACACUAAACAAGAGAAAUAAAGAAACUACAACAACAUAGACAACAAGAUUUUCAUCUAAAAACUUCAAUCUUUCCAUCAACACUGAUGAUAGGACCACGGCAAACCAACAUUGAAGAAAGGGAGAUAGCAAACCCCAACAGAAGUGUUAAAAACACCAGAUAAAGCACCAUUGGAAUAAAGGAUAAGGUGAUCUCUUGCUUAACCCUUGUCCCAAGGUAAUCAGAGACCCGGCGAAGCCACAAGUUCAAUACACCAUCCUACAAACAACUGUUGGAGACAACCACUCAACAAACCCAAACACUGGAAAGAGCAUGACACCUCAAAGAAACUACAAACCCCACUUCACAACCGGCAAGCGCAAAGAAGUAACCAGAACACGAACAACGCUCUGUAGCACCGGAAAAAAAAAACUGAUUUGGAGGAAGAAACAAAGCUAAUAUUGGAGCCACAAAGGAGACGACUCCCUUCCUACAGUUUCAUAAUGAAACACACCCGACAGGAAUCUGAACUUAUCAAGAAGAGGUUAGCAGCACAAAGGCAUUGCCCUCACUAGACGCCAAGAAACCCCAACCCGCAUGCGAGAACCGAGGAGAGGCCAGACCAGAACCCAACAACAUCAGAAGACUGCAUACCACCACACGAUCAGAGAACCGACGCAAAGACCAUCGAAAAGCAAACUCCACCAGAUCUACUACCACCCACAAAGAAAUAGGGAUGGCAAUAAAUAAUCUGGACCGCGGGCCUGACCCAUAAAGACUUACUGCGGGGCGGAAUCGGGCCACCUUGGUAAGCCCGCAAAAUAUAUAUGUAUUUUUUUUUUGAUAAAUGGUCAUGAAAACACACGAAGACAUUACAAAAUGAAGAUGCGAGUAUAAAUUAUACUAUCGUGAAAUUACAUCGCAGCUAUGAAUAUUACAUUUAUGUAACUUUAAAAUUUUAAAUUAUAUAUCUUCUUUGAAACGUUUGUCAUUUUUCUAUUAAUUUGGAGUAUUUCAGACCUGUGAAAAUCAUAAAUUUUAUCUUCUGUUUGGAUAUUUAAAUAAUCUGUAAAGCAUAAUUUCAUAUUAAUCUGUAAAGUAUAAUUUCAUAUCUACAAAAUCCUCUUGUAACCAACUAAACUAGAGAAGAAUUUAACAAAUAGUUGGCCCUUUAAAUACUUUAAUUAUCUAAGCCCCCAAGCACAUGCUUUACUUGCUUCCAUUCAGAGCAUCUAAAAAAAACUCUAUUUUGAAGUUUCUAAAACUCUAUAUUUGAAGUUUUAAGGUGUUUUUCUCCAAAAGCAAAACUUCAAACUUAACUUCAAAGCUAUUUGUAUUUUAUAAUAUGGUCCUAAUUUAAAUUCAUAAAACUUUUGUAUAUAACUAGCACAUAUGUAAACAUAUUACAAUAAUAUUAAUUAAUGAAAUAUUAUAUUAAAAUAUAAAAAUUUAAACAAAAUAACUUAACUAAUAUUAAACUUCAAGCAAAAUACCAUAUUAUUCCAUAAAGUGAUUUUCGUAGUGCAUAUAUGAUCUACUAGUGCAUUUUGAAUUAAAAAUAGUUUUCCUCAUUUUUAAUUUGUAGAUUAUAGAUAAUAAAUGUUGAAAUCGGGAGAUAUUAAUACUUGUAAAUACAUUAGAUCAGAACAAGAAAGUAAAAGACAAACAUAAAAUAUUUCUAAAAGACUAACUUUUAUCGAUGAUAUUAAUACUCGUGAAUAUAUUCAAUAUGAACAAGAAAGAAUUGUACGAAAAGAUAUCAUCAACAAAAACAACAACCAUCUUCAAUUACACCAAAAAACUAGACAAUAUUUGAAAUUUUGAAGGUUCCAGAUCAAACUUACCUAACUAUUAGUGUUAUUGUAUUAUUCAAAUUUGUGUAAUAGUUAUGUCUUUAUAUAAUUUUUUAAAAGUUUUUUUGUUAAGUUUCUUUUGUAUAUUUCUGUUAUAUAAAUCUAGUUUUAAAUAUUUUAAAUAUUCUUUUAACAAAAUACAAAUAAAAAUAUGAAACUUCAAAUUUGAAGUUUUGAGUAGUGAAACUUCAAAUAUAGAGUUUCACCUCUCAAAACUUCAAAUUUGAAGUUUUGAAGUUCAUUUUUAGAAAGUAAAAAGCUUUAUAUUUGAAGUUAUAGAGUGUCUUUUGUAGAUGAGCAUGGCUCUAUGUCUACUACUAUACUAUGUGAUUGUAAUUGGUUUAAGAUAUUUAAAGGUGUAUAGUGAUUCAGUUAUUGUUUAUGUAUUUAGGCAGUGCUGAAAAAUUAAUUCACGCAUGUUCAAUUUGAUGUUAGCAUUUUAAAAUCAGGUCGUAUGAAAGCAAGAUGAUCACCUAGACAAUUUUGAGUUUGACAUAACAAUAUAAUAUUUGAUAAAAUCUUUCAAACUUUGUUAAUAUGCUCACAAGUCAUAGUAUUACUAUUUGGUUGGUGGCCUAACACAUGUCUUUCGUCAUUGUGAAUAACAGUAAACAAAAUUGGUUUCUCACUUCUCUAGUUUCAAGAUAAAAUAUAGUAAUAAAUUUAAUGUUCUGGGUGGUAAAUUAUGAAAAAGAAGCAUCUCAUUAUAGAAACCUUUUUGGGUUAAGUAAAUGUUAUAAUCAUUCAAAAUUAGUUAUAAACUAGUAGAUUGCUGUCCAAAAAAAAGACUAGAUUAGGUCUAAGCAUUGCACAAGACAAAUGUAUUUAUUAUAUUAUUUAACUAACAAAUCUAUUAAAAUGCUAAUUCUACAUUGCAAAAUAAAUUGACUUCAUUAUUUUUUACAAAAAAUGUAACAAGAAUCUUCAUAUCUCACACGAACACAUGAAUUACAAGUCUACAACAGAUAUUACACCUCAGAAAUUCCAAAAGCAACCCGAUUCUCCCAUACCGGCUAAAGCGGAGGGGUCAGUACCAGUACCGGGGAACUGGGUUUCGUGACUGUUAAGCAACAGUUUCAUUAGCGAAUCAUUGUCUGUUAGAAACAGAGGAUCAGGGUAAAACAGAGGACCAGAACCGUCUUUGGACUCGAGAUGAAUGAGUCUUUUAUCUUCGGUUUCUUGGUCGGAGAAGCAGGUCACGUGAGUAGACGAACCAGGGAAGGAAUCUCGUUGAGAAGAAUCCAUCAACGAAGGUAAUCCGACCGGUUCAAUCCGGUUAACGUGUGAAUCAAGCAACAUUAAAUGGGACAUAUCAACCUUUGUACCAUCGGCACGUUUAUGGAAAACACGGCAAAUAACCCAAUCGUUCUACAUUCACACACAACAAAACAGAACACAAAAUAUCAAUUCAAUUCCACACAAAAAAAGACAAAAAAUGUCUUUGAUGUUAUUGUUACCUUAGCUGUCUGGGAGAGAUGUUGGAUAGAAUAUAUGCCUUCUAAUCGAUAUUCAUGCAUAACCCAAUUGGUUCUUACUCCUUUAGGAGCUCUUCCUUUGUAGAAAACCAGAGUCUUCUUCAUACCCACAAGUGAUUUCCCCUUGAAAAUCUCUUUAUCUUUGCCUGUGGCUUUCCAGUAACCGGCUUCAGUUGCCCGGUUUGUCCUUAAACCGGUUGGGUAUUUCCGGUCUCGCACACAAAAGAAAUACCAUUCUUUCUCCCCUAUCUUAGCUUUCCCUAUUUCACCAAAAGCCAUCACAUAUAUAUUUGUGAGUAAUAAUAAAUUACAGAACAAUAAUAACUAACAUAAAAAAGUUUAAAAAAGGUGGAAAAAGUUUAGAAAAGGCAUGAUACUUCAUGCAGUCUCAAACCAUUUGUAAAGUUUUGUGGAAUCAUGUAUAUUAAACAUAUAUAUUAUUUUUUUUUAACUUCAGAUAUAUAAAUUCAUAUUUACAGCUUUUGUUAUAGUACAAACGUUUUUUAAUUGCUGGAAAGGUUGUACACUUACUUGGUAACUCCCAAGGCUCGAUCUUGUUGAGAUCAACUUCACCAAUGGCGGUGGCAGAGAAGAAAGUGUUGAAGACCUUUUGUUUGAGAUAGUGAGUUAUGAGUUCUUCAUCAGUAGGGUGAAAUCUGAAUCCAGGUGGCAGAUCAAUUUGCUCUUCAUCUUCUACUAUUUCACCGAUUCUUGAUGCAUCGUAAUCCAUUUAUCCUAAUAAAGUUUAUUAGAAACAAUCAAAGUUAUGUAAGAGAGAAGAGAAGGGUUUUUGAAGAGAUGAAUAAAAGGGUUUUGAAGAGAGAGAGUGUGUUUUUUAAGAGAGAAGAGGAAAGGGUUUGAGCAACGAAGCUCCUCUCUAUAUACUAGUUUUCCAUCAGAGAAAUAAGGAAAUAAUAUUAUUAUUGUUGAUAUUGACCAAUAAUUGGUCAAUCUUUUGUGUAUCAAGUUCUUCUUUCAAAGUUUCAAACUAUGAGUUGUAUUGAAUUUCAAGAGUUUUUACCUACUAUAAAGAAAACUUUUAUCUUCGCUCUAAAUGAUUUAUUGUAUAUAAAUGGGUUUUCCGAUUUAAAUCUCGUACAGCCAUCAAAUCAUAUUAUAAAUCAGAAAAUGGGUGUACACACACAUUAACACAUACUAUAGUUAGUUUUCUUAGUAUGAUAGAGAAAGAGGAAGAUGCGUCGAUUGUUAGGCAACUUAAGAUGUGUAAUAUUCAAUAAUCAUUUCUCAUCAUUAAAAAUAAACCUUUCUAUUUCAAGAACUUUAAUAUUUCCAAGUUUCAAUUUGACCAGGAACACUUCACCUGUGGCUCCCUGUCCCUUUUUUGGUUAAUGUGAUAAGAACAAUCUUAUCACAUUAAAUCCUGAUGUUUUGUCCAUUCUUGAAACUAAUUAUUAGUUGCUGGAAAAAGAAUAUCAGUAGAAAACUAUGAUUAUUGGUUUGAAAACAUUUUACAUUGAAACUAUAUGAUUAUAUAAUUGAAACAUUAUAAAUUACCGCGGGUCACUAUUAUUGGUGUUGUGAUUCAGGAUAACUAUGAGAAAAGAGUUUACCAUGGUUGGAUAUAAUUUGUUUUAUUUACUUAACAAGUGUUAUCCCUCUCAUGAAAAGAUUAUGCAUGCAUGAACCUUGGAAAGUAGAUUCUUUAGUAUUAAAGGAACUCUUUUCUUUGUCCUAUUACAGUGCCUACCGUUAUAAGAAAUUAUAAUACUAGUAUGCAAGAUUUUUUAAAAAAGUUCAGUGAAAAAUUGGAAAGAAAAACGAUUUCCUUGUGAAGAUGGGUAAUGAUGAUGAAUGGAUGAGGAUUGUGAUGAUGAAAAUCUGUUAGAAUGUGAAGACAUUUUGAACAACCUCAACCUUAUCAUAUGUGAAUUAUUUGAUUUUUUUAAUGAUCGAAUCACGCGUUUGUGCAUACGAGGUUGUCAUUUGUCACUUCUACAACAUGUGCAUUUUAUUCUUUUCUAGCCAAAUUUCUUCCUCAGUAUUUUUAUUAUACUUGCUGUUUAAAUCCUUAUAUAAUCGAUGUAUUGGUAUUUUUAAUCAACUAUAGUUAUCAUAAAUUGGAAUUUGGAUCGAUACUGGAUAUAUAAUUUAUAUCUUUCUAUUGCACUCUUUUCUUUUCAACUAAUUUCCCAGACUCAAAAGAGAAAAGAUACAUAAGUUGCCAGAAAAAAAAUCAAUGUAUGUUUCACACUAAAAGAGCUAAUGACAAAAUUCAUAGUACAACAAAAAGAAUAUCAAUUCUAGAAGGCCAUAAAGCAACACUCAAGUGAUUGAUGGAACACGUGGAUUUUUCAAAUUAUGUUCCUUCUUCUCAAAAACCCGUUUAAGUUUCCUUGCCUUUUUGACCAAAUUCCCCAAUCUAUCAUUUGUCAAGUUGCUCCUCCAAAAAAUUGCUUAUACUCUUUUUAACAGAGAUGAGUAGGGUUACAUAGACAAAUUGGUUAUAUAUAUUAGGGGUGGGCAAAAAACCCAAACCGAACCGAACCGAACCAACCAAACCGAAGUUAAACCGAACCAAACCAAACCGUGCUCUUUAUGUAACCCAAUUGGUUCAUGUUUUACUCAACCCGAACGGUUUGGUUUGGUUUGGGUUUAAACCGAACCAAACCGAACCAAACCGAUAAUCCAAUAUAUAUAUAGUAAAAAUAUAUAUGAUAUAUAUAUAUGUAUUAACAUAUUGCAAAUUUUAGUUAAAGUUUCGUUUUUCAUUUUUUCAUAACUUCCAUAUCUUUAAAAAAAAUUAUAAAUACGAUUCAAAUAAUACUAUUAUAUAUAAAAUCAUGUAGCAUAAGUUUUUAUAUUCUCACUCUAUCGUUUAUGAGUUGAUUAUUUUUUAAUAAAAGUAUAAAACUAAUGCCUUCAUAUUUUAUAACCAACCCAAACUACACCGAACCAAACUAGACCAUAAUAAUGUAAACCAAACUAAAUCUAAACCAAACCGAACUGAACCGAACCGAAUUAAACCCAAACCGAACCCAACCCAAAGCUACUUUGGUUUUAAUUGGUUUGAGUUUUAUAAAACCCAAAUUACCCAAACCAAACCGAACCCAAACCGAACCCGAAACUAAACCGAAAUGCCCACCCCUAAUAUAUAUAGGGGUUAUUUGUGAAAUAACCAAAAAAGAGUAAUUAGUAUUUUUUAAUGAGAGGUUAGAAAGAAAUAGGAAGAGAAAUGAGGAAAGAGAUGGUUGUUUUGGUUAGAAAAUGAAUUUGAGGUUUUUAUGUAUAUAGGGACAUAUUUCCCUUAUAUACUUUUUGUUUUCAAAAACAAAAACCAAUAUAACUACCGCAUCAUUAUUUUUCAGUUUGUUACUGUGAAUGUUUUUGAUUUGAACGCCAUUGACUAGAUCAUGUCCAACUUCUUCAUGACCAUUAUUCCACUAUCUCUUUAUCAUGGCCUAAAACCUCGCGCAUUCAUAUCAAAAAUCUCAUUAGAAUCGAAUUGGAGAGUUUUCAAAACUCUAAUGCUUCUCCAUAUCAAACAUCUCAUUAAAAUCGCCAAAUAUUAUUCACUACUUCUUAGUUCUUACCUAUUAUGGGAGAGUUGUGAUGAUCCAUCAGUUCCCCAUAUAGAACUUCUACCGUUAUCGCUCUUCCUCGAAGUUAGAAGCGUAAAGUGUUUUAUGAUAAAAAGACAGAAAGGAAAUGGGAUGGCAAGAAACUUAUAGAAUUUUUGUUAUGAUCUAUAAUACAAUUAUUAUUACUUCGAUUUGUUUGAUUAUUUUUUACUCGUGGUUCUUUUACUAAUUGAUUAGUUAAGUUUGGCUACACUUGUUGUCUUAUAAGAUUGAUAUCGUAGAAAAGUGAGAAGCUUACAAAUCAGUUUGACGUUUUUGAUUGGGACUCGGAUAUAGUGGAUUCAGAGGAAGUGGAUGAAGAUUUCAUUGUCGACCUAAUGACUCUAUCAACUAGCAGACUUCUUUAGGAUAGGUUGGUGGCAAUUUCUGAAAUGCAACAGAGAUGAAUGCUACUUUAAGCUCAACUCAACUAAGGCAAAAGGAAGUCGAAUACAUAGGAAACAUGGUUGACGUGGUGGGUUUGGCUAACCUCACUAUGGUGACCAUGGAUAUCCUCUAGAUAGUUUUAGCUCUUGCCCGUUUCACUUUUAAGCAUUCAAGUUGCUUACUUGUUGCUUGUAAAACCUUUUCUAAAUUGCAACUGUUGGCUUUACUGUUGGCUUAAUAUAUAUGUACAAUGAGAAGGUCUAUUAAUAUUCAAUGGUGUGAGUUCUUCUACACACAUUUUCUUAGUGUGAGCCCGUCCCGUGCAUCAUAAACGUAGACCUCAUGUCGAAGUAGAACAUUCAAUUAUUUUUAUGAGAUGAGAGCAUAUAUCUACUACGAACAAAAUGCAUAUUAUUUUACUAAACAAUUGGGACGAAGAUAAUUUGUAUUAUUCGUUCCAAGUCCAACUGAGACAUUUUUUGCCAAUCAAUACAUUAUAUUAAAAUCUUCAAAUGAAGAUGAUGCAUACAAUACAAAAUUGAAAAGAUAAAUGGAAUGAUAAAAAGUUAGAAAAGAAAAGUAUAAGCCUAACAUCCAUGAGUCUCUAGCCUACUUCAAUUCUUGAAUGGAGCUAAACCAGACUUUCCAGUGGUAAAUAAAACUGAAACGUUCUUCUCGAUUAAUUGAGAUAUGUUGGCUAUUAACAAUGAUGAGUUCAUUUGCUAAGAACUUUAUGCUAUUUUUUUUUUAAUCAAAAUUUCUAAAGCUAAUCCUUUUUUCUAACACCUUUCUAAAGCUAAUCAAUCGUUUCCUUUUGUUUUAGGCUUUUAGCAGUUCUUUCCUUUUCAGGAAAUAUAAACUAAAUUCUAUAAAUCUUUUGCUACUUGGUGGUGCCAAAACCACGUGUCGCUUGAUUUUUUGAAACGGCAAGAGUUUCAUACGUAUCGCCAACCCCAACCUUCUCUUGGACACGACACAAGUAAGACGAAUUCCAAAAUAGACACGUGUUUGGAUACAAAUGGGAGUUAAUAAGUAUCAAACGCUAUUCUUAAUUAUCGUAAUUCAGUUGCUGAAAAGAACUGAUUUAGCUAAUUAAGUGGAAUUUCACUAAUUAAAGUUUGACCAGCUUCCUGAUUCGAAACAUGAGUUGCCAGUGGGAACAAACACGACUCAAAACUCCGUUACCAUGAUUCUGUGCAAGACCCAAUGGAGGAAAUGAUGGAUGCAGACUCUUCAGGAUGAUUGCAUGAACUUUGACUGACGUAGAAGUCCGGUCCACAGAGAUCCUAAGAGUUUUAAAUGUUGUUUCGAUGAGUAAUGCAUAACACUAUUAAUUAGUUUCCAAAAUUGGACUGGUUAAGGUAUUCUCAAGAUGAGUUAUAUUGGGUGCUAGUAUUGUAUAUAGGUUUAUUCAGUACGCUAUAUCUUUUUGUGGCGAUGUUUUGUCCUGAGAGAUUCUUUUAUCACUACAAGAAAACAGCUUGUUUCCUACAGACGAUUUAGUCGAAAUAAGCCAUUUCUGAUGAAUUUCGUUGGUUCUAUCUCGUCGAAAAAAAAACGUUUGAAUUUCGUCGGAUUUCUGACGCAUUUCCGACGGACAAAUUUCCGACGAAAUACCGACGAAUAAAUUUCCGACAAAAUACCAACGGAUAAAUUUCUGACGAAAUUCUGACAAAUCUUAUCCGUCGAAACUUUUGUAAACUAUUUUUAAAAUAAAAUAAAUUUUAUUUUAAAUAUAAUAUUUAAUGAAUUACGUAUAACAAAUUUUAAAAAUCAUUUAUAAUAAAUAUUUUUAAUUCUUUAUAUAUAAAUAAAAUAAAAUUUAAAAUUAGGAAAACGUUUUAACUAAAUCUUUUUUGUAAUUGAACCCAUUUCCUAGAAAUUAAAAACAUUUUAAUUAAAUCUAAAAAAAAACAAAAACUUUUUAUAGAUUGAAAAGGUUUAAAAAAAUGUGAAAAACGUUUUGAUAAUCUUUAGUAACCAGAAAAUGUUUUAUAAAUUAUAACAAACAAUAAAAACUUUUUAUAAGAACUUAAAUUUUUUUUUUUGAUGAAUUUUUUUUUUAAAGUUUAAAACGUUUUAUAAAAUCAUAAAAACGUUUUAAAACAACAAUAAUAAUAAAAACUUGAAAAUGUUAUAUAUAUAUUUAUUUAUUCUAAUAAAACUCCAAAAAUGUUUUAAAAUUUGAAAAAACAUUUUAUAAAUAACAAAAAAAAGAUUCACAAAACAACAAAUUAAAUAAACAAACUACAAAAUCACAAGCAAAACCUAUCUAAACCACAACAUAACAACAAAAUCUAACAUCUAAUUCAUAAUAUUCUUCAUCCUAACAUAAAUCCAACAUUCAAAACCUUAAAUUCACAAUUUCACAAUCAAAAAGUAACAUAAGUCAAAUGAGAAAAGGAAAGAGAUGACUUACAUAAUUUGUGAGGUGGAUUUGAGGAGUUUGAGCUUAGAAUCGUUGGAUUAGAGAGAGAGAAUCAAAGAGAAUUUGUGUAUGUUUAGAGAGAGAGAGAGGAGAAGUGAGGAAGAAGAAGGGGCUUGCGCUUUUAUAUUAAAAAUUUCUGACGGAUUGGAUUCAUCAGAAAUCCGUCAAAAUUUUUUAUUUUGACGUUUCACGAAAAAUUAGGCAGGGUUUUUCGGGGCAAAUUUCAAUUUCCGACGAAUAUACCAUUUUCGUCGGAAAUUCGCCGGAAUAUAUCAUUGUCGUCGGAAUUCGACAGAAAUAUAUUUGUCAGAAAUUUCCUACGAAUUUUGAACGAAUUAUAAUAGCCAUCGAUAAUAAAUUGAUGACUUUUAGGGUUUAAAAUCUUCAUAAUGUUUAGAAACACUUGAAAACACACAAACUAAAGAUUGCAAGAUGGAUCACCGAAAAGUAUUUGCUUAAGUGUAUAAGUGUUAACGAGAAAUAUUAGGUAUCCGUCCAUGCAUCAAUCGCAAGAAUAUAUAUAUAGCUUAAAUAAUUGAGGCAAUAUUAAUCUACAUCAUAUUUAUCACUUAAUAUAUCCGGAUGAACAUUUAUUUUGAAUAUUUCAUAUCUAAACUCAUGGUCGUCGAAAAUUCGUUGGAAAUUUGUGUCGAAUAUGCUACGAAAAUUUCGCAAUCCAUCAGAAUUUCGUCGGCAAUUUUCUAGGAAGAAAUUUGUCAAAAUUUCGUCGGACAUUUCUGACGAAUUUCCUACAGAAAUUUUUCAUUUCGUCGGAAAUCCGUCAGAAAUUUCUGAUGAAUUUCCGACGAAAACAUAAACCCCAAAUCUAUACCCUAAAUCGUGUAAUCUUCCUUGGGAGUCGUCGGUAUUUUGUCGCUUAUUUUUGAUGAAAGAAAGUUCGUCGGAAAUUCCUAAGAUAUUUCCGACAAAUGGUAAAAUUUUAUAUUUCUCGAAAUCCGUCAGAAAUUUCUCAGAAAUUUCCGACGAAUAUUUCUUCCGUCAGAAAAUGAAUAUGUUUUCUUGUAGUGUAUUGCACAUGGCCAUUUGCUAAUAAUCCAGUUUUAUGGAAUGGAUCUUGUGUGUUCACGAGGUUCAUGUGGCAGUCUUUUUCAACGAUUGGGACUUGGCUUUGUUUUAACUAGUUUUUCUAGGUGUUCCGGAUUAAUGAAAAUUCUAAGUUGGAAUUGCAGAGGACUCAGGAGUAAAUGGAUUAUUAGUUAUUUGAGAGAAAUUAGGGGGAAAUAUAAACCAGCGUUUCUAUUUUUAUCGGAAACCAAACAGCAAUUUGAUUUUGUGCAGUCUUUUUAAUUUCAUUUUGGAUAUUCUCAUCUCCAUACGGUUGAUCUUAUAGGGAGGAGUGGUGGGCUGGCUCUAUUUUAUGAUUCCACUUAUAAGGUAUAUAAACUCUUCAAGCAACAUAAUUAUAGACGUCGAGACAAAAUAUAACGGAAAAUGAAUUUUUAUUUCACUUGUUUAUGGCGAGUCAAAUCAAAAUUUUAGAGACCAGAUUUGGGAGAGGCUUACAAUAGGGAUCUUGAGGGACGAACCAUGGUUUAUUAUUGGAGACUUAAAUGAGAUUACGGGUAAUCAUGAGAAACAAGGAGGAGUUCUUAGACACGCAGAUACGUUUUUACAAUUCAAUAAUAUGAUAGAGAACUGUGGUCUGAUGGAGUUUCCAAGUCUUGGUAAUACUCUUUCUUGGAACGGAAGAAGAGCUGGACAUGUGUUAAGUGUCAACUGGAUAGGGCAUUGGCAAACAAUGAAUGGCAUAAUCUGUUUCCUUGCUCUUUUGUUGAAUACUUGGGUAUGAUUGCCUCUGAUCACAGGCCGAUUGUGGCAUCAAUAGAGGAUAAAGUACUAAACUUUUGACGGUAAUUUAGAUUUGAUAAAAGAUGGAUAGGUGAGGAUGGACUGAUGGAAUCUAUUGAACGUGGAUGGUCCACUCAGAGGGGUGGACGCCGCAUGGGUAUAGUAGAUAAAAUUCAUAAUUGUUGACAUGAAAUUUCUGUUUGGAAAAAGGAAAAUCCACCUUAUGGGAAGGAAAAAAUAAAUACUCUUCAGAGGGCUCUGGAGGAUGAUCAAAGCGAUUUGACAAAAUCUCUUGAAGUAGUGAUUGAGGUGUCCAGGAAACUAAAAGAGGCAUAUCGAGAUGAAAAAUUAUAGUGGGAACAGAAGAGUAGAACUUUGUGGCAUACAUGUGGAGAUAGAAAUACUAAAGUAUAUCAUGCUUUAACCAAACAAAGACGCAUACAAAACAUGAUUAUUGGUUUAUAUAACGAGGAUGGGGAUUGGAUUAAUUCAGAAGGUGAUAUGGAAAGUGUGUCGCUUAAAUAUUUCAAUGAUCUGUUCCAGUCUACCCCGCCUUCAGAGUUUGAUAGGUUUCUAGAGGAAGUUCCAACUUGGUAACAACUGCUCAAAAUAAUAGACUAACGGCUCAUGCUUCAAAGGAGGAAGUUAGGACGUCAUUAUUUAUGAUGCACCCGGAGAAAG
rnacentral:lncRNA from 1 species